rnacentral:lncRNA from 1 species
CUAUUCACUUUGGUUGGGAUGGCUUAUUUGUAUUUUCUGUUGUCAAGCUGAUCGUAGCUUUAUAAUUGAUUCCUAUUUGUGUACUGAACAACAAUCAUUUUCUAGGGCUAAUGCACAACAACCCAAGCUUUUUGUUGGGAUGAUCCUCAUUCUCAUUUUCGCUGAAGCCUUGGCUCUUUAUGGGCUUAUUGUUGGCAUUAUCUUGUCUUCCCGAGCUGGGCAGUCUAGAGCUGAGUGAAGUUGACUCCGUUCUUGCCGCACUGUAUGUGAGACUUCAGAAGAUCAAGACAGCUAAAGCCGAAAGUCAAAAAGUAUCUAUUACGUGUAUUGUUAUUCAUGACACCACCACUGUCACUUCAAUUUGUUGGUGUUAUGUGCUGUUUGUAGAAAUAGGAAUUCAUUUUUUUCCAUUUAAUAAUAGCUUAAAGAGCUGUGCAAUUUGGUCUGUAUUUAAUGUGUAUUUUGCACUCAUUAUUUGUGAACAGUCUGAGAACUAUUUCUUUUCUAAGAUUCGUGCAUGUACGAACUACUUUUCAUCUAGUAUAUCAUGUUUACUCUGCAUCUAUGGGAUUGAAUUUGAAUAUUUCUUUUAUCAACCAAGUUAUAUUUGGUGGUACUUACUUGAAGGUGCAUAUACUUGGUGCUCAUAAUGUAUUCAUUAAUUUAUAAGUAAAAGGUACUAUUUUUUAUGACAAUAAAUAUUAAUCGAGUUGACUCAGGAUACAUCAGUUUCAACUUGCAAUUUUACCGUUCAUAUUUUACAUAAUGCAUUGCUUAUUCUAAAAUUAUAUCUAAAUCGCUUUAAAAUGUUUUGUACAGAAUAACAUGAGAUACAUGUGCUGAAAAUUAGUAAGUAGAGAAGGAUGAACCUAUUAUACAGCUUCAAUCCAUGCACCACCUGGCCAAUGGACAACCAAUAUUGUGACUAACACUUAUGGGGUCUCAGUAUCAGAAAUUUAUGACUUAAAUUAUUCGGGUGCAUAGGUUAUAAGGUGGGUGUAGGGACUAGAAUUCUCUUCUUUCCAGACAAAUGGAUCGCCAGAGUUCAUUCAUGGAGGAUUUUCCAGAUUUAUUUUCUUUUGGUGGCAACCCUGAAGCCUCUAUUGCUGAGACCUGGACUAACCAAGGAUGAAAUAUCAUCUUUAGGAGGCUUCUAAAUGACGGGGAGGUUGAGAGAGUGGCCAGCUUACUGCAAAGAUUAAAUGAUUUCUCUGGUUUAAAUACUAGCCCUGAUACAAUGAUAGAUGGAGACAUGAUAGGGAUGAAAAUUUUUCAGUGGAAGAUUAUACAGAAGAAAUUUGUCCUCACAAACUGGGAGCAUCUCUGGACCUUGGAAACAAAUAUGGAAAUCUAAUAUCCUACCAAGAUCAAGUGUUUCACAUGUCAAGUAUGUAGAAGAGCAUGCCUAACUCAUGAGAAACUGAAAAAGAGAGGUUUUGAGAUUGUCGCAAGGUGCUUCUUUUGCCAUGAAAAGGAGGAAACAAAUAGUCAUCUGUUUCUUCAUUGUAGAGUGAGUUCUCAGGUGUGGCAUAUGUUUUACAAUCUCCUCCAAAAAUCAUGGGUGAUGCCUGAGCAUACAACAGAUCUUCUAACCUGCUGGAUGAGGAGAGGUGGAGUAAAAAACAGGAAAAAAUGGUGGAGCCUAGUCCCUUCUUGCAUAUGGUGGUCAAUCUGGAAGGAAAGAAAUAAUCGAUGUUUUGAGAAUAUUACUAAUCCAAUGCAAUAUUUUCGGUGUAAAGAAGAGGGUAUAGAUGAGGUAGGACAGCUAGUAGACUUCCUAGGCUCUCUGUAAUUAGGAUUACUUGCAUUGUAAUUUUUUGAUGGUUGACAGUAUACCCGCGUUGCUGAGGAAUACAACUUUACCUUGCUUAAAAAAACAUGUGGAUACUUGCAGGAAGCACAACCAGAUUGACAUAAAACAGUAUAACCAACAAUUCUGUAAUUUAACAAAAUCAAACACAGAGCACCUAAAAAUAGCCACUUGGUUAGCAAGAGCACUUGUAUCUCAUUAUAAUUUUUUUUGAAACAUUAGGCAGAACUACAUUAUUAUCAUAUAAACACAGAUCCCUUGUGUGCUUUUCAUCAUUAAUCUUGUAUAGUGAAAAAGGAGAUAGCUCAAUCUAAUGACUCUUUUUUCCCCUCUACCUUUCAUAACCACUCUUGCUAAACCUUUUUCACUUUAUUUACAAUGUACAUUGUAUUGUAUGUAUCAUUAGGUAUCUAAUCAUUACUUACAUUUUUACACUCUAUAUCUGUCUCGUUAUUAGGGAAAUCUACACUUGGUUUACAAAGUCCAAACAUGAAUUGCUAAUUUAUAAAAGACGAAAUGGCUUGGGAGAUCCUUGUACUUAUUUUGAUUUGUAAACCUAACUACUUAGGUUACAACUGUAAAUGUACUGACUCCAGAUCAGUUUCUGUUGCUUGGGAUAGAACUAUGAGUGGAGGAAAUGGAGGAGUCAUAGUGGAAGAAGAAAGUGGAAUUUCUAAGGCAUAAAGUAGCUCGCGAGGGACUUGAACUUGAUUUCCCUAUGAUCACAAAACAAUAUUUUGUUCAAAACAAUUUGAUGUAAAAAUGUAAAAUGAUGUGGCAAGUUUUAUCUCAGUUCACUUUUUUGAUUUGGAACUCUAGUCGAGCUGAUGGCGAGAUCAAUUCUUUGUUGGAGUUUCAUGAGGAAGGAGAGGAACCACUGAUGCAAGUCUACAUAUCAUAGAGCUGGCAGCGGAGGUGUACAAGUUAGUUAGUGGGUGAUGUCCAAUAGUUAGUUGGUGCCCAUUAGUUAGUUACAAUUCUGUUACAAAAGUCAGUUGAAUGUUCAGGAGUAGUUAGUUGAAUUCAUUAGUGGAUUAGAUCCAUAUAUACCAGGUAAAAGAUUUCAAUUGAUUCAUUAAAUGAUGAUACAUUUCUUUUUCUUCUAAAAUUCUCUCUCUUCUGAUAUCUCGGCUUCCAGUCGUGAAUUAGCAUCUCAGUUCUUCAAGUUCAAAGCUCCUAGAAUUGUUCUUCUUAAUUGAUGCUUAAUUGACUGUCAUUGUGCAUCAACCACCGCCAAAUGGUGCUUUUACAAAAGUAUGGCAGUGUGAUUGAGAGACACAAUGAGUCUGGAGUGGUUUAAAGUAGUGUGUUGGAACCACUAGGUGAUGCCUGAUAAAGUGGACUGGGUUGACAAAUCAGAAUGAAGUACGAGGGUCUUUUAGUCAUUCACUUUUAUUGUGUAGUAUAAAUUAUUGUCUUCCUCUUAAUGGUCCACAAACAGCUAGCUAAAGAAGACUUGUGCAAAAACUUUGAGAAGACUUUGUGAAGGAGCAAACACAACUAUGGCCGAUCCUGUAAUUGGUGCUACAGUUCAAGUUUUGCUUGAAAAACUGCUUUCUCUCACUAUUGAGGAACUCAGUAGCUCAAGGGACUGCAAGAAAGAUCUGGAAAUGCUUACAUAAAAUGUAUCCUUGAUCCAAGCUUUCAUUCAUGAUGCUGAAAGACGACAAGUUGACGAUCAGGCUGUGAAACUAUGGCUCAAGAUGCUUGAGAGAGCUGAUGAAAAUGUGUUUGACGAAUUCAGGUAUGAAUCUAUCAAAAGACAAGUGAAGAUCCGAAACAAACCAAUGAAAAAGGUCAGUGAUUACUUUUCUCAUACAGAUUUUAAGAGCAAAAUGUCACGAAAAAUCAACAACAUCAAUGAAGAGUUGAGGGCUAUCAAUAAGUUAGCCAAAAACCUCGGUCUCCAAUCACUCAUGGUUCCUCUUCAGCAAAUCCUAUCAAUUCGUGAAACAAAUUCCGUAGUAGUUGCUUCGGAGGUUGUUGGUAGAGACAACGAUGUUGCAGAAAUAAAGAGGAAGAUGUUGAACAUGAGAGAUGAUAUUGUUCUGUCCACAGGGGUUUAGGGAAAACAACUGUGGCUAAGAGAAAUUUCAACGAUGAACAGAUCGAGAAACACUUUGAAAAGAGAGUUUGGUUGUGUCUACCUGAAAUGUCAGAAACGAAGAGCUUUCUUCAACUAAUCCUCGAAUCAUUGACAAAGAGGAAAGUUGAGGUCCAAAGCAGAGACAUAAUAGUCAAGAUGCUACAAGAUGAACUGGCAGGAAGAAAGUAAUUGCUUGUCCUGGAUGAUUUGUGGCAUGUUAACUCUACAUUGUGGGUAGAGUUUGUAGAUACUUUGCGAGGAAUGAUUACAUCCCGAGGAAACUUCAUUCUCGUGACUACUCGUAUGGAACAGGUGGCGUCCACAGUAGCAACAGUAGGUCCUCAUAGGUUGGAAAAAUUAGCAAAAGAUCAUUGUUGGUCCAUUUUCAAACAAAGAGCAUUUGUUGAUGGGGAAGUUCCAGAGGAAAUAGUGAUCAUGGAGAACAGGAUUGUUGAAAUGUGUCAAGGUCUACCAUUGGCUGCAAGUGUGUUGGGAGGCCUCUUACGCAACAAGCAAAAACAUGAAUGGCAGGCAAUUCUUGAUGGAAACCCCCUUGUUGCAAGUGAAGAUGAUAACGGAGAAAAUAACAUUAAGAAAAUCCUAAAACUCAGCUAUGAUUAUCUACCAUCUCCACAUCUGAAAAAAUGCUUUGCUUACUUUGCAAUGUUUCCAAAAGAUUUUGAGUUUGAAAAGGACCAACUAAUCCAACUCUGGAUGGCAGAAGGCAUUCUUCAUCCAUGUCAAGAGAUCACUGUAAUGGAAGACAUCGGGUACAAGUUCUUUCAGCUCUUGUUGCGAAAUUCCUUGCUGCAAGAUGUUAAGUUAGAUAAGCACAACAACAUAACACACUGUAAGAUGCACGAUCUUGUGCAUGGUUUGGCUGGGGAUAUCAUAAAAUCUAAACUAUUUGAUCCGAGGAGCGAUGGUGGAGAAAAUCUUUCUCAAGAGCGAUAUUUUGGAUGGGACUCACCAAGUGAUCAAAUAGAUAAGAUAAAAGAGCCAGAAUGUUUGUGCACACUGUUUUGGAGAAGCAAUUAUAUAUCGGAAGAUAUGCUGUUGAGCUUUAAGUUCUUGAGAGUUUUAAAUUUGUCCAGUUCAGGAAUCAAGGAGUUGUCAGCCAAAAUAGGGAAGCUGAUACACUUAAGAUAUCUUGAUCUCUCGGACACUAAGAUCACAGCCUUGCCCCACUCCAUUUGCGAGCUUUAUAAUUUGCAAACAUUUAGAUUCUACAAAUUCGGUUCACUCUUGGCACUUCCAUAUGAGAUGGGAAAUAUGAUAAGUUUGCGACACAUAUACUUCUGUUCUCGGUCUCAGACGCCACUUAACAUGGGACAAUUGACUUGUCUUCAGACCCUACAGUAUUUCAAUGUGGGUUUAGAGAAAGGUCGUCGAAUAGAAGAAUUAGGUCAUUUGAAGAACCUUAGAGGUAAGUUGAGGAUCAAUGGUCUCCAAUUGGUCCGUAAUAGAGAAGAAGCUUGAACAUCAUAUCUACGGGAGAAACUGAAUAUUUACAAGCUGGCAUAUUUAUGGUCCAUGAGGAAUCAAAAGGAUGUGCAAUCAAUGAUCAGCAUGUGUUGGAUGGUCUUCAACCGCAUCCUAACUUGAAAACAUUAGAAGUGAAGAACUACUUGGGUACUAGAUUUUCUUCAUGGUUCAGUGAAGAAUCGCUACCAAAUUUGGUCAAGUUGAAAUUAAGUGGUUGCAAAAGGUGCAUUGAAAUUCCACCGCUUGGCCAACUGAAGUUCCUUCGGCAUCUUGAGCUGAUAGGACUCCUUGAAUUGGAAUUCAUCGGACCUACAUUUUAUGGUGUCGAGGUUAAUGAUAAUGGAUCGUGCAGCAAAAUCCAAGUGUUCCCGUCAUUGAAAGAGCUUCUAUGGGAGAAUAUGCAUAGCCUUAUUGAGUGGAAUUGAUACCAACAACAAGAGGGGUAAGAAUGUUUGCUAAGCUUGAGAAUUUGAGGAUUAGAAACUGUCCAUUGUUAAAAAGUACUCUGAAUCAAUUUGAAAUCCUACGUGAAUUAGAGAUUGCGAGAGUUGACAGUAAAAAUGCCGUUGUUGAACUUGUGCAGCAACUUGACAUCUCUCGUAAAUUUAAGGGUCUAUUUUGUGAAAGAGCUCACUUGUUUACCAGAUGAGAUGCUACGCAACAACGUUUCACUUCAACACCUAUGGGUCUCAGUGUGCGGUGAGUUUCAUGAAUUCCCACAAAGCUUGUAUAAUCUCCGUUCUCUUAAGAGCUUAAUGAUUGACAGCUGCACCAAUUUCAGUUCCUUUCCUGUUCCCAGUGGAGAGAAUUAUUUGACUUCCCUCCAAUGUUUUCAUUUAUACAAUUGUGAUGGAUUGACCAGUUUACCAAGUGGAAUGCUAGAGCAUUGUCCUUCACUUUACAUGUGGGGGAAAUGACUUCACUUUCAUGCUUGGGUUUAUCACUUUGUCCCAACUUGAUUAGUGUACCCGCAGGGAGCCUUCACCUUAUCACUGGGUUACGGCGUUUCGAAAUUGGUCCUUUCUCAGAGAUGGUGGAUUUUGAGGAAUUCCAAUUUGAUAUUUAAUGGCAUUCAGUCUCUUCAUACAUUGGAGGUGUGGGGACACUUGCACUGGGAUUCUCUGCCCUAUCAGCUUAUGUAACUCUCUGAUCUGACAGAGAUCAAAAUAUAUGGAUUCGGAAUUGAGGCUCUUCCUCAUAGAUUUGGAGACCUUACUUCUCUUGAAAGAUUUACUCUAGUGGGGUGCAAACGGCUACAACAUUUGGACUUCUCAGAUGCCAUGCCCAAAUUACGAUAUCUGUGGAUAAGUGAUUGUCCAUUGUUAGAAGCUCUGUCAGAUGCAGGGAUGACAAUUGGGUGGGUUGGGUCAAAUUUGGGCAGAUCAUAAUGAGUUAUAACAACAAUCGGGUCAAAAUCCAACUCAACCGUCAAGACCCAACCCAAUUUUUACUAAAUUUAAUUAUUUUAUUUAUUCUUUAAAAUUAUUUUAGUACCUAAUAAAAUUAUCCUUUUCUUUAUUAUGGCUAUAUAUAACAUAUCUAAUUGAAAAAAAGUUUUUCAAUAAAGUUUUUUUAAAAAUAUUCUGAUAAGUUUUGUCAUGAGCCAAUUUGAGUUACAUAUCAACCCAAUUUUUAAUGGAUUAAACUAAUAAAUGAGCGGGUCAAUAACCCGUCCAAACUUAAAUGGGUUGGCAGGUUGGGUUUGAUUUUGGCACUCCUAGUCGAAUGGGCUCGCAACCUUGUUUCUUUGCAAGAGUCAGUUUUAUCAAAAUGUGAAAAACUAAAGCAUCUACCCUCCAGAGAUCAUGCCAUGUGACACCACACCAAAUUCCGAAACCUGGAAAUUAAAGGCUGCCCUAAGUUAGAAGAAAGUUGCACAAAUCGGAGUGACCCAAACUCCCAAUGGUCCAACAUUGCCCGUAUUCCAAAAAUUAAAGUAGGUGGAAACAUAAUUCAGAACUUGAGUAAGUUUCAGUUUUUGAGUCUCAUUUUUAAUUUUUGUUUUCCACGAGUUACUCUCCUCCGUUAUCCUUCUAUAGUUUUUCAAACAUUUUUUGUUCCACUUGAAACAAAAUUUAUGAAUAUCUAUAUUACAGUUAAGAUAUGGUUUAAUCAUGAAUAUUUAUGUGUGUUUUUUCUCAUUGGUUAUUAGUUUCAAGGUCAUGCUAGAAUGUUGCUGUGGCAUUUCAAGUCAAAAUCCAUGGGCGGCAACUACAUUAGGUAAACUUUCAUUUAGAAUACUGUAACAAGUUUGUCAAGUUUUUCUGUUCACUCUCAUGACACAAUUUUACUGUUUAACAGGGUUGGUUAUGUACGACAAAGGAACCACCACAUUUGUUUUGUUGAAAAACAGAAUCUUCAGCCGUAGACUGUUUCAUGAGCAUUUGGUAAAGACUGCAUAAUCUCUCAACAUUUUACUCUUCUAACAACUAUUAAAUUAAAUUCUACGUCGCUGAUUUUUCCAAGUGAAGCUAUUUUUUUUUAUGUACGGGUAUGUUUUGAUAAAUUAUCUUCUCAGGUACUUUGGUCAAGGUAGAAAAGGUAUCCGUGGAUCGAGCCAUCAAAUUCUGUUCAUGAGCUAUUCAUAAGAUGAAGCUAGAAGGUUACUGUGAUAUAAAGACAAAAUGUAUGUCCAUUGCAAACUGCACCUUACUUCUAUGCACGCCAAGACUUGAAAGCUAUGCGGAAGUAUAAGGUAUGCCCGGGAAUAACUUUGUCAAUUUUACUUUUCAGCUCCUUUUUCUCAUUAAAAUACUGAAACGUUUAAUAGGUAUUAUCGUUCAACAAUUUAGUCUUUCUCUUAAUCCUCUAAUAUUAUUAUACACUUCAUUAUAUGGUAUGAUGGAAGUCAUAAAGUGGUAAAGGAAAUUGUUCGUUCUCUUUGAAGAAAUUGAUUGGCAUAACAUUGUUGGUAUACACAGGAUUCUUAGAUGCAUGACAUAUUUCAUUUUGGAUUCCGUUGAUAGUAGAUUUGACAGCAGAGGCCUUUAAUUUCUUGCACAUAGUGUACAUGCCUUUUCGUACAAAUAGAGUUUUUGAUUCCAGCAAACAUUUUGAACUUAAUUCUUAUCUGCUGCAAGCAUCAUUGCCUAGUUGAUAGCUUCUUUAAUGUAGCUCUGCCUUUUCUCUUGAAGUUUAUCUUUGCCGCAUAAUAAACAAAGAGGAUAGACGGUAUAGAGUCAGGUCCAUCCCAGUUUGAACUCUCAGUCCAUGCUCUAGUUGGGCCUGGGCGUGAAGGGAUUACGUUGUUAGAGUGGGUAAAAGUCCCAUAUUAGUUUGGGAAUGAACUGGUGGUCAAUUUAAUGUUUAUAUAAACUUGGACAAUCAUCCCCUCAUGAGCUAGCUUUUGAGUUGAAUUAGGCCUAAAUGUCGUGCUACAUCAGUGUCGUUAUAUCAAGAAUCUAAUUUUACUUUAAAUUAUCUUCACGAAGAAAACAACUAGAUAAAAUUAAAUGUUAAUUUGGUGAUUUAUCAGCUGAUAAUAAUGAAUUUUAGUUGGCUCAUGCACCUUUUAAUAGAGCGUAAUGAUGAUUUUUUCGUGUUGAAAUAUUCAGAUCCAUGUGAGUAUUAUUGUGGCUUACAUCGCGAAUUAAGAAAGACAAAGAUCAAAUGCUAGCUAGACAUUGUAGAUCUUACAUGCUCAAAUUGGCCAAGGAACAAACGUCACCAACCGAAAUAGAGCAAACAUCUAUGAAAAAAGAUGUGUCUACAUUAUUAUCUGAGGAUAGUAUUGAAUACUUUUAUAUUGAUGUUAAGAAUUUGAUAAUUGUAUUUAUAUUUUUAAUUUAUGAUAUUGUCAUUAAGUUAAGAAAAUCGAUGGAUUUAACUUUAAAUUUAUUAUAUAUUUUAUUUAUUACUCCCUCUGUCCCAAUUUAUGUGACACAUUUUGGAUUUCGAGAUUCAAACAAGUCUAUCUUUGACCGUAAAUUUUCAUAUAUCUUUUAAAUAUUUUGAAUUAUCAAUUAUUGUGACUUAUAGUACUUUUUAUGUAGUUUACAAAUAUAUGAAUUUCAUUUUAAAAAAAUUGAAGAUUUCAAGAGCAAAUUCUCGGUCAAACUUAAACUGUUUGACUCUCGAAAAGCGAAAUGUGUCACAUAAAUUGGGACAGAGGGAGUAGUAUUUAACUGGGAUUCGACGACGGACUUAAAAAAGCCAAAGGGCUUGAUAUAUCCCUCAAUUUUGUCAUAUAGAGCUGAUAUACCCCUCGUUAUAAAAAUAACUCACAUAUACCCCUAACGCUACAAUAAUGGCUUACAUAUACCCCUACCAUUACAAAAGUGGUUCACAUAUACUCCUACCAUUACAAAAGCAAAAAAAUAAUUUUUAAUUUAUUUUUUUAAAAAAAUAAAAAAUCAUGUAUUUAUCUUUUUCACACAUAAAUUAUUUUUUGACUUCUGAUUAUUAUUAUUUGAGUAUUUUUUUUCUUUCAUUCUUUAGUGUAAAAAUAAUAGAUGUGGAAAGAAAGAAGUGUGAAUGAGAAAAGAUUAAAAAGUUAAAAAAGAAUUUAAAAUUAAUUAUUUUGUGGCUAUAUUGUAAUUUAGUUUUUAUAAAUGUAAAAAAAUUAUUUGGGCAUCUAUAAUAAAUUUUUGCAAGAAAAUAAGUGAAAAAUAAAUUUGACGAUCAAAAUAAUAAAUUCAAAUAGGUGGUCUUUCCGAAAAUGUUAAACAAAAGUUUUCCCCUUGCAUCUCGGUCGCUUUAACUUUUUUGUUAUUUUGUAAUCUCCGGUGGCAUGAAACUACUGGGCACAUACCUGACCUUCACUGGAAGUGACAUAAAAAAGACAGUUGAAUCAACAAGAAAGAUGUUGAUGAAAACAUAUUUUAUCCCCUAUCGCACGGAAAGGGAAACCUAUAGUUUGUUUGAUAGGCCCGAAAAUGCUUCUUAUUGGUUCCCUGCCCCCUAUUGAUGUGAAUUAGUAAAUAAAUAAAAAUAGUCAAAAGAAAAAAAACAUGUGAGAAUGAUCAAAUAUAUCCCUAUAUGGAUUAUCUUUUCUUAAUAAAAAAAAAUAAUUUAAUUUUUUUCACUUUCGUUAAUAGAAAAGGAAUAUGUGAGUCAUUUGUGUAACAAUAGGAGUAUAUAUGAGUCACUUUCAUAUAGGGGUAUAUCAUCUCUAAAUAGCAAAAUUAAGGGGUAUAUUAAAGCCCUUUUCCCUAAUAAAAUUGACAAGCAUUAUAUAUACAGAAAUUACACAAAACAUAAAAAGUGCAACAUUUCAUAUUUCAUAGAAAAAAUACGUAGAUUACAUUAGAAUUCACAAAAAGCCAAUUAAAUAGUACGUUAAAACACUACAUGAAAAUAUAUAAUACAUAAAAAGUACCGCAAUUACAACAACAACAACAACAAAAACAUGAUAUAAAAUCAAAAUAAAAAUCUAACCAUUAUGUACAACUUUCAAAAUACAAACAAUAAAUAACAACAAAUCAGUCUCAAACAAAUUGAAUUUUUUCUCAUUUUCAUCGGUUUCUCUCUCGAAACAUCAAUAGUAGGUAGAGUGUCCCUUAGUAAGAUCUAAGAGAUCCCUAUCAUUUUCAACUUUAUUCAAGUUAAAGUUGCAUACUAAACCGCACUUGUUAUUUUUAGUAGUUGUAUUUAUAUUCUUUUUGUCGGAAAAUCAUCUUUCCAACGAAAUUAACCAUAUUCAUCAUUUUCCUACAAAAAUUAACAAACAUAAUUUUACUUUUGAAAACUAAAAUAUUUAAUCUACAUGCUUUUUGCUCUAAAAAGGUAACACAAAAUCUAUCUUACUUUCAGUACUUUACAAUCCUAAAGCUUACGAUCCGUUUUCUAGGGGUCACUAAUAUCUUGAUCCUAUAAUAAUCUCUGCACAUAUAUAUAGAUAUAGGAUUGCAUAAAAAAUAUGGAGAAAGAACAAAAAAUUGAGAAGGAAUGAGAUGAACUAGGAUAGAAAUAUAAUCCGGCCUAAUUUUGACUCAUAUAGUGCACUAAUUUAAUGCUCUAUAUGACUAUGAAAUUUAACUGUUGUUAAGAUUUGAUCCAUUCCUAGUACACUAAUUUAGUGUGCUAAAAAAUAAAUAAAUUCACACAUUACGUUAUAACCACAAACAAUUACAAUAUUAUAAUUUUCAUACUUUUGAUCGAAUUUGUAAUCUUCAUUAACGAACUCCAUCUUUUUUUUCACGUUAUUUAGAUUCCUCCCUCAAAUGGCGGUCCAUAUUUUUCUCUUAUAUAGAAGAGACAGUUUUCAACAUGUAUACUAAAAGUAAUUUAACAAAAGCUAAGGGUUAGUUUAGUCUUUGAGCAUGAACCAGUAAUGAGUCGUUACUCAUUACCGAUGACAAGUAUAUGUCUUGUAGGCUGUAGCCAUUGCACAUCAAUCCUACUUUCUUUUUAGAAAUAUUUCAGAAGAUGCAUAUAUGCAUCAUUUUCUCAAGUUCUCUAUAAUUUGUAUGUGUGUAUUCUUCCUCCCAUAUCUUCCUCAGCACCAAAGAAGAAAUUGGCACUGCAUCUCUUAGGAUUUUACCAUUAUUUUGAUAGGAAAAAAGAGCUAACCUUCUUUAAAAAUGUCUUUUUAAAGGGGUUGCCUAAUUUUCUGGUUGUUUUUAAGCAAAUGAAAUUUAAAUUGAUUUAGCUGCGACUAUAAAAAUAUAAGAGGGGGCUUGUAAAGAAAUGAUUAUGUAGUAUAUGGAUGAUGAACCAAAAAGGUGGGAUCUUGGGUAAGAGAAUGAAAUUUCAUUAUUCUGGAAUUCAUCUUUUAUGCAUUUUCUAAAACCAAUAAACUUGAUCUUUAUUUAUUAAUCAAAAUUGGAUUGGAUUUUGUUUAUAUAUACAUACUAUUAGCUGUAGGUCUAGCUUAGUGUUAGUUUCUUUUAACAAAAUUCAUCAAAGGUUGAAGUAGCUAUUUUUAAAGAAAUUUUCGUUUUAUUUUUUAUUUGAAAAAUAUAAUAUUGUAACUUUAACAUUUAAACUGGCUGAACUAAGUUUAAAUUUAGGGACGGCAUGUCCUCCAUCCAACAAGGGGCUAUGCCAAUUUAGACUAUCAAGUUGAAAUUUUGUAUUUGUUGCAAGCAACUAGAUUGAUAAGUCACUUUUGACAAAAUUCAAAUUAUCGAAUUGAAAGAGUAUAGAUUUUGUGUUUGGUAAAUAUACUAUGAUAUUAGAUAUUGGUGUAAAUCUCAUGUGGUUGAACAAUGAACACACUUAAAAGUGAUGCGUUUUUUUAUUUUUUGAAGAUGGUAAAAUCUAUAUUUAUUGGUUUGGAUUUUUUAUUUCUCCGUCUUUAUGUAGACAACUUUGGCAUGAUAACAUUGAAUGAGUGCACACAAAUGUGUUCAGUGAUAGUGCAUCAAAAUUUUAGAGAUCUCCCUUUAAAUUAUCAGCUUAUUACAUACUUUAUCAAACUUUUUCAUGCUUUUAACUUCUGAGUUAUCUCUGCAGAUUCUAUUUGACAAUUUUAUCUACAAAUAAAGAUGGGAAAAUUACAUCACUAAUAUAUGAUGUCUAAAUAGUAUGAGUUGUAGAUAGUUUUGUUGUAUAUACAAUGUAAGGGAAUAAAGGAUAUGUACUUCAAAAACAUUUACCACUACAUGUUAUUCCAAAAUGUGAAUAGAACCUUAUUGUUUUGCCAAAAUUGUUCAAAUCUUUAUAGUAUUGGGCCCGUGCUAACACGGGCCAUAUUUCUCUAUAUAUAUAUAUACUAGAAGGGAGAGCAAGUGCAUCGCACGGGUCCAACAUGACUAAUUUGAUUGCACUGCUGCAAUUUUCACGCUCUGGGUUCUAAUUGAUUUUGGCCGGAUUCUCCUUUAGUGGCAGAAGAGGAUUAAACUAGCUUAAAAUGUUUUAGAUGUUAUUUUAUUAAUUUUAUCCAACUUGGAUAAAAUUGGUAAUAAAGAGUGUUGCAAUUUUUCUAUUGAUUGAAUUGUAGCAACAUAUACAAAUUAAAGAUAUCCUAAGUAUCCUGACUAUAAGUUGAGAAAGUAAACACAAAUUUAAAAGAAAAUCAAAUUAUUUGUGAAGUGUUUUACACAAAUAAUUGUGAAUAACUUAUGUCUAGCAGGUGAACAAUAAUUUCUUCAACUAAUGAACUAAGCCUAUGAACUGACGCAUCCUGUUCAACCUUUCCAACAAAGCUAUCAGCUGUCUCGUAAUUCUCAAAAAAGACUCUUAAGACUCCAACUUUCAUAAUUAACAAUUCAAUCUCUUUAUGAAGAUCAAUCAUUUAUAUUUGUGGAUAAGAGUGACAUUGUAACUCCCUCCAUUUGCUUUUGAUUUUUGAAUGAUGAGACAAAGGAAUUAAGAGGAGAAAAGGGAAAUGAAGACUUUAUGAACAUGGCUUAUAAGUUAGAGGUGGUUCAAAUCAUUUAUCUUUGUUGAAACAUGUGGAUUAUGUAUUUAUGCAUGUUGAGCAUCAUCUUGCGGAGGAUCAUUGCAGACAAUACAUAAAGAGAUUGAAUUGUUAAUUAUGAAAGUUGGAGUCUUAAGAGUCUUUUUUGAGAAUUACGAGACAGCUGAUAGCUUUGUUGGAAAGGUUGAACAGGAUGCGUCAGUUCAUAGGCUUAGUUCAUUAGUUGAAGAAAUUAUUGUUCACCUGCUAGACAUAAGUUAUUCACAAUUAUUUGUGUAAAACACUUCACAAAUAAUUUGAUUUUCUUUUAAAUUUGUGUUUACUUUCUCAACUUAUAGUCAGGAUACUUAGGAUAUCUUUAAUUUGUAUAUGUUGCUACAAUUCAAUCAAUAGAAAAAUUGCAACACUCUUUAUUACCAAUUUUAUCCAAGUUGGAUAAAAUUAAUAAAAUAACAUCUAAAACAUUUUAAGCUAGUUUAAUCCUCUUCUGCCACUAAAGGAGAAUCCGGCCAAAAUCAAUUAGAACCCAGAGCGUGAAAAUUGCAGCAGUGUAUAGUGACAAUUCAUGUGAUUAUCUAGUCUAGUUGUGUGAGGUUAAGGAAGAGAGAAAACCAAGAAACUCAAGUUGGCAACUAUAACCUGAUAAAUGAAAUGACUAACACAUGGAAGAAACCAUUAUAUAUCUUCUCAUCUAAGUUGCUCGGACUAUCCAAAAAUGUUGCUGUCGCACUCGUGUCAGACACUAUCCGACAUGCACCCGUCGAUAUUUUUGAAGAGUCGGGGCAAAUAUAGCUUCUCAUAUCCCCUGAGCAACUUUCAAGACUACAAAUUUAAUAUAGAAUCGGAAAAAGACAACACUUGUAGGACCAAAAGAACAAUGGUUAAGUUGCAAUAUGAUCCUUAGCAUUUACCUUGAGAAAAGGUCAUCGUAAAAGUACAUUGUCAAUCUGUGCAGGAAAUCAUACAAUAGAAUCGUUAUAAGCUACAUAAAAAAUUAUAUUUAUACACAUUCUCUGAUCUAUUCUGAAAUAUAACACAUGAACACACUUCAUGAAGCUACAUCGCUUUACCAGUAAAUCUAAAACAUUAAAGUGACUAAAAUCUUUCAUAACCAACAUAACGAUCCACCCUAGUUCUUAAUGGUUGAUCGAUCACUUCAAAAUAAUUUGUAUUCGAGAUCAAGUUAUUCAUAUCAAUAAGCUCAUAAUAUAAAUAAAAUUAUCAUCUCAAGAAUUAAUUAAAUCUGUCAGGACAUGACAGAUAUAUAGCACCGUUUGUUAAUACCAAAUAAAUUGUUUCUCUUGUCUCUUUGACAAAUUAAUUUCUUUGUCUGUCACUUGUUGUCUAUUCUUAUCGGCAGAUUGUCCUUUGUAAGUAGGUAAGAUAAAUACCGGCUAUGGCAUUCAAGUAACGAAGUGGAAAAGAUGGUAGAAGUGGGGAGUGGAUCGAUGACGGUUUGAUCAUCAUCAUUAUUCAUAGAGGUUGAGGAAUAAAAACAGAAAAUAUGCAAAAAAAUAUAGAAUAAUUAAAAUAUUAGAUUGACAAGCUAUACCAAAUAAAUAUGCAUUAUUUUUUACCAAUAAAUAAAUAAAUAUGUAUGGUACAAAUCUUGAUUUAUGAGUUUCAUUGUACAAUUCUUGAUCUGCAAGAAGUGUAUAUUACUCUUGAAAAUCAAUAUCCAAUGGUAACUUUUUUUGUUCAUUUAUUCGAAAAAGUGGUUUUGAUAUCUUUCAACAACAUAUUCAAUAAUUUUUUAUUUUUUUCUCAUUUUCCAAAAUUUGUGCAGUCCUCUUCUCCUGUUGGCUUUAGAGUUUUACACUACUCUUUGUUCAUCUUUGGCUGAGAAAAAAAAUCAACACGAGAAAUGGCAGCCAAAGUAGCAAAGAGGAAAGUAAAAUUGUAGAUAUAGCUAAUAUGAUACACGUGGGUCGACGUGUUUAUAGGAAAAGACCAUAAAGCUCAAUUAACAAUGAAAUGGAGCCCACUUGUACAGUACGAAUUAAAUUGCUCUUCGUACAACCAAUUAGUGCUGGUGUUCAAUUUGGACAGCUUUCGGUACAAAUUUUUAAUGUUGUGUUCGUCCCAACAACUGUCAUUUAUAAAUAUUGGUAAGGUAAUAUAGUUGAUUUCAUAUCUUAUGUCUUGAUUGUGUGAUAAAGGUAUGGUUAUUAAAAGAUACCGUUGGUGCCUCAUAUUUUAAUUAUUAUUUUUUUCCGUUUAUAAUAUCUUCAAAAAUAUUUAAAUAUAUUAUAUUAUGCUUAGGAAAAUAUUAUUAUAAAAAAACUUAUUAUAUUUUGUAAACAAUUUUGUUUUUGGUGGGCAACUUCUCUAGAAUGAUAGUGCAAACGACCGCCUAAGUUAUUAUUGAUUUCAAUUAAAAUAGUUAAAACUCUAUUAUUAUAGAUACCUAAAGUUUUAUGGUUUUUUUGUUACAAUAUAAUCGUUAACUUUGCAUUUGAAAACAACAAGUCAGGAUGGCCGAGUGGUCUAAGGCGCCAGACUCAAGUUCUGGUCUUCGUAAGAGGGCGUGGGUUCAAAUCCCACUUCUGACAUUUUUUUUCUUCUUUUUAUGCUGUGUGACUCGUUUUGCAAUGUUAAUUAAAUCUCAAAAACUAUUUUAAUUUAUGUUGUGUGACUCAUUUAAAUAAAAACUUCAGAAAAAAAAUAGAUUCAACUUUUUUUAUUCUUUUAAAAUAAAAGUAGUGUUCCGAUAAGUUUGAUUUUUGUUUUGACUAUUAAAUUGGAUAUUUAUCGUAUCCUAUUAGUAAAGGUACUGUUCAAGAAAAAAAAUAGAUUCAACUUUUUUUUUCUUUUUAAAAUAAAAGUAGUGUUCCAAUAAGCUUGAUUUUUGUUUUGACUAUUAAAUUGGAUAUUUAUCGUAUCCUAUUAAUAAGGGUACUGUUCAUGAUUUGAUUAAAUUUUUUAUUUCAAAUUGAAACUGAACCAAAUCAAUUAAAUUAAUCAAUAUUCUUAAGAUUUGAUUCUAAAUUUUUUAGAAUUGAUACUAUUUGACUUGAAAUUGAUUUUAGUAAAUAAAAAUUGAUAUAUAUAUAACGAGUUUAUUUUUUAUGAAUAAUUUAAAACAUCAUACAUUUGCAUUAUUUAUUUAAAUAUUGGCUUGUAAUUACAGAGAUAAGGAUAUUUAGGUGGAUGUGUGUGCAAUCUAGGAGAUAGGAGAUAUAAAAUUAGGAAUGAAGAUGUUCGCAACAAGGUUUGAGUGGUUUUCGUGGUGUACAAGUUGAGCAAAGUAUGAAUGAGAUGGUUUAGGCAUGUGGAGAGGAGAAAUGUAGAUACCCCUACGAGCUAGGAAGUGCAAGAGGUUGACAAUAACGGAUAUCAUGAGAGGUAAAGGUAGACCAAAGAAGUAUUGGUGAAGGUGAUUAAAAAAAAUGAUACAUCUUGAGCUUACCAUGGACAUGACGUUGGAUAGGAGCUAGGGUUCAGAUGUCGCAAUUUAGGGUAGAAGAUUAGUUGGUAGUUGAACAUUCUCUCGUUUUCUUAUGGAAUAGACUUGAUGCUCCUAUUUGGGCAUUCUUUCUUAUUCGCGGUAUUAGCACUAUCCCCGUAGUCCUUGUUAUUCAGUUUCGAUUAUCACCUGUGGUUGGUGUGUGCGUAUUUUGAUUAUCACAUUAUUUUGUUGUCUUAUUGUUCUUUCCUUUGUACAUUAUAUAUUUCUCUUCAUUUCAGAUUAUUUCGUUAUUGCUACUACUCUCAUUCAUGCAUUUCAUUUUCCUAACUGCUUGGAUAUGUUUAUCAUAAGUCGGAGGUUUAUUAAAAAGAAACUCUCAAUUUCUUCGAGGUGGAGGUAAUAUCUGCGUUUACUUUAUCCUCUCCAAAUUAAUUUCACUUAUGAUAUUACAUUGAAUUUGGUGGUGAAAUUUUAUUUGUGAGAUUACACUGAUAUUUUGAUUAUUUUUUAUUAUUUUAGUUAGAAAUUGUUAGUUUUGAUGCCAUUAUUUGGCAAGAUAAUUUCCCCAUACUAAUUAUACAACAACUUAUUUCAAAAUAAAUAAGCAAAAAAGAUAAAGUUAGUGCUAAAUUUAGGGGUUGUUUAGUUUGAAGAGAUGGAAUAAGUUAUGCUGAUAUAACUUAUAAGUUAUGAUGAGAUUAGUUAUGCUAAAAUUAUAUUUAUAGGCUGUUUGGUUAGUCAUAUUCAAAUAACAUGCAUGACGUGAUUUCUAAGAAUAAGUUGUGUGUUUACAAAAAUACCCUCCCUUUUAUUUAGUUUGUUAUACUUUCUUUACAAGCUUUAGUUAAUCACUCUUAAAAUUAAAAUUCUCAUCUUAUUUAACUUAAAUAUUUUUGUGUGUGCAUUCUCAUAAUUAUGCCGUAUGUUUUUAAAUAUAAAACAUCUAUCUCAUUUAGUUUAAAAAUAAAAUUUUAAUCUUAGAUUUGCUAGAGUGAAAAAGAUUUUAUUGUUGAUGUCACUUUAUUUAAGCACAUAUCACUCGUAUAUUAUAAAACAUCAAGAUUAUCUUCAUUUUAAUUGAUAUAAAAAAUACAAAUUUUCAAGUGAUGAUAAGACUAUUUAGUUAAAAAACUAUGUGAUUCAAUAGUGAAGUGAACAUUUUAAGAGAAAUCAAAAUAUAAAUAAACAUAAGAACUAGUCAAAUAAAUUCAACGUAUAAUAUAUUCAUAAACAAAAAAUAUGUUUAUAUAGCAUAUUUUUUUAAUGAAAAAAAUAUAUAAUCAUAAAAAUAACGCAUAGUAAAGAUUGUGAAUAUCACUAUAAAUGAUACUAAAAAUUAUUUGAACAUACACAUAUGUUAAAAUGAUGCAUAAAAGAGGGUUUGAAAUGAUAUUCUUGUUAUCUUACAUUUUUAUUAUCUUAAUAUUAAUAUUCCAUCCACUAAUAAAAAUAACUAUCGCACGUUUUGCGACCAAACAAAAAAUUAGGGAUUUUGAAAACUUUAUGGAAUUAUUUUUUCUUAUCCAUCACGCCAAAGUCCAAACGGGUUAGUUGAAAGACAAUCUAGGCACCAAACGACCCAUUCAGGUUCCUAAUAGGCGUGUGCGCACAUUCGAUGCAGCUCUCUCGUCAUCACAAAACUGAUACUCACAAGCUCAGGGUUUGUGAAUUCUAGGGCUUCUAAAGGAGAUCUAGAAGCUUCUUUCUCAGAUCCCAAUUUUCCUCAAUUUGCAGUCGAAAAUGGCGCCUCUUCCAGCACCAUACUCAGGAACCAGCACUCUUGCUCUGGUAAUCUUUUGUCUUCUACACUUCGAUCCGUUUACGACUACUUCACUGUACAUCUGAAUAAAAAUCUCCUUUAUUAAAAUGAAUUUUUUGAUCUUAAACUAUUUUGGUUGUGGUUGUUGGCGGCAGGUGGCGCGCGCAUCAGCAUUUACCUUUGGACUCGCUUAUGGAAGCGUUAAGCUCAAGUAUCUCAGGGUAUUUUCCUCCCCUUUUGAAUUUUUUUAUUUUUGAUAAGUGAUUACGUAGGGUACUGAAAUGAAAUGGGACUGAAUAAAGCGAGAUUGAUAUAGAUGAUUUGUGUAGACUAUACUGAGAUUGAAGCAUAGCUGGUUAACCGAAUACAGAUUUUGCACGGGGUUUAGUUCAUCAGAUCAUUUACUUGAAGUUCCUUAAAUGUUAUGAUUCACUUUUAGUUUCGCGGAGCAGACAUUUAGUGCCUCAUGUAAAAUGAAAUGAGCAUGUGUGUAAUGCAGAACAGACAUAGUUGGUUUAAGUAGCCAACCUAGACAGUUUAGGAUUUGCAAUGUUGGUUGAUUGAUAGACUUUGAAUUGAAACCUGGCAUUUAAGAGUUUCUUUUAAAAUUAAAUGGGCUGAUGGAUGGAGCAGAGCAGAUAGGUAAGAUUCAUAUAGCCAACCCGACCAGUCUCGAAUUGAGGCAUAGUUGGUUAAUCGAUUAUUCUGGAAGUUUCAACCUGCACUGUUUUCUUUUCUUUUAUUGGAUAUGAUGUUAUGUUUUCUGUUCCAGAUAUGAUAACAAGCCCCGUUGAAAUAAUUCCUAAGUAGAUGAGUGGAUCAAUUGCUAGGUAUUAUUGUUCAUGAGGUGACUAGUAAGACAAGAUUAACUUUCUAAAGUGAAAUUACAUAUCGAAAUGUAGAACCUGAAUGUUUUUCUAAAGAACUUGAUGGAAUAAGUAUGAACUUGAGGACUGAUUGCUAGUCUUUCUACUUUGACUUUGCUGCGAAGAUUUUAGCCAAAAUGAUCCUCCAACUUAUGCCUCAAGUCUCACAUAGUUGAUCAGUAAAAAUGACCCGAAUAAUCCUUCGACUUGCUAGGCUCGUGACCAAAAUUGUCAAACUUUAACUGGGUUCAGCAAGACAAUAACUAGAGAAACGCUACUCACAUGGCUGCUUAAGUAAAUGUUGGUAUUACUAAGAAAAAUAUUCAUUGGAAGCCACUUCUUUCCCCAAUCUUGUUUUGAAGCAUCAGAUCUCUAGAUUUUCAGACACAAGAUUGGUGGAAGCAGUCAUCUGCGCUUUAUCAUCCAUUUCCUGAGUAGAGUAAUCUCUACUCUCUUGUCUUCUCUUUUUGUAUUUUUAACCAAUACACAUCUCUUUGUUUUUGGCAUGCCUAACUUAGCCAAAACACAAUUUCGAUGAAUACAAUCCAAGUUCUUAAUAUCUUAAAACUUUAAUUGCGCAAUAAGAACAAUGCCUCAGUCUCGAACAAGUUGGGUUAGGUAUAUAAAUCUUCACUCACCAUUAUUUAAACACAUCUAAGGCCAUUAUUAUAUAAAAUAGAAAUAACAAUAAAAAUAGUUUCUUUUUUUAAAAAGGAACAAUAGUAAAAAUAAAAGUACAUAUGAGAUGUUUGUUGUAAUUACUAUUGAUGUAUAAAUCUCUGAAAGGUUAAACAACUUCCAAAAAGAUAGGAUAUAAAAUGGAAGUGCUAACUUUGGCUAAAAUAUAUUCUCAACUUAUAGGUGCUAAAUCUCUGAAAGGCUAAGUAACUCCUAGUCUCCUAGAAAAAAUAGGACGUAAAAUAAAAGAUAUAACACAACUAAAUCAUAUUUUCAACUAAUAGGUAUCUUUUAUUAGAACCCUUCAGGGUGGCCCAGUGGUGGUUUGAGCUUGAGACUUCCAUAUUGGAGGUCUCAAGUUCGAAACCCCUUGCCAGCGAAAGCAAGGGGUUUGCCUUCUGGGUGGAGCUUGUCGCACCGGAUUUGCCUAGUGUGGGUUUCCUCCCCUGUGUAGUUUGCGAGCUAUUGUAUAGGAGCGAGGGUUUUACCCUGUGCACACCCAAAGGGUAGCGGCUGCAGGUUUCCCUUGUCAUCAAAUUAAAAAAAGAAGAUAUCUUUUAUUAGAUCUUUUUCUUCCAUUGUUUGUUGACUUUGCAUGGCCAAGAAAUUGUAGAUCCUUCGAGACAACUUCCUUUCAAGUGAUUUUUGGUCUACCUUGUCCCUUGUAACAUCCUCACUUACCAUGGUUUCAUAUCUAUGGAUCGGGGCAUCAGGCAGUCAACAUAACAUGAUUAUACCAUCUCAAACAACUCUCUCAUUUCAUCCUCGAUUUAUUACUUGGGUGUGGGUGCUAAGAUGAGUGUCGCAGAGAUGUGGGUGCUAAGAUGGACGUGCGGUUAUACAAGACUAAACAAGAUUAAGAAUGACUAAUCUUGGUGCUCUCUGAUUUUUGUUUAUUUUUCAAUGAAUGCUUGUCACCUUAAAUGAGAUGGAUCUAUUUGGGUUAGGUGAUCUCCUCCUCCUCCUUCAUAGUGGAGGGGUGCUUUAUCUGAGGGUUGUUCCCAAAUUUGUAAAUGGAUAAUAUGUUGUUAAUUCCACCUAGAAAUUCACAAAAGUGGUGCAUUGUGAGGAUAUCAUUGUUAUAUUGGAAGUUCCUGCGCUACUUAUCCUUGUAGCAACUGUUACAAUAUAUUAUUUUCUUUUUUUCUAUAGAGAUGUUUGUAAUGAUAGUUAAUUCUAGCUGAUUUACUUUUUUAAAUCAGAGUAAUUGUGACACUUUUUCCCCUCUAUGCUCUUUUCUAGGCAAAGGCCAAGUCUCAAAAGAAGGCGGAAGCUAAGGCACAUCACUGAAAGAUAACUCAUGGUGGAUUUGCUCUUUGCUGAUAGAAUAAGAUGUGGCUGAUUAAACUGUAUCACGUUUCACCUGAUGCUUAUACGAUAAUUAGAUUCUGACUUGUAGCUGUUCAAUAUUGUGGUCUUUAAUGGUUCAGUGGUUUCUACACGAUCAAAUAUUAUAUUUGAAGUAAUGAGUCCUCUCAUUAAAACUCGAAUAACUAUAGUUAAAUCUGCCUCUAUAUAGUGAUUUAUAGUUUCAACAGGAAGUAGUGACAAAAGUUGGCCUAAGGAAAAAAGGAGGAUCCCAAGCAUAAGAGAAGUUGACAGUAUUCUUUCCUGGUAUGAUAUUGCCAUUGUUGACACUACAUUCAUUGUUUCCCAAAGGCUUGAAAAUAGUUGGAUCCACUGGCUCUGUUGUCUGAAAAUCAUUGCAAGACAAUACCAAUUUUUGCAUGGGGCAAUCACAAUUGUUCACCACAACCACAUUCCAUUCUGGCUUUCCCUUUAUUUCUACACCACUCCUUAUUGUUCCAACUGUUAUAUUGUUCAAACCACAACUACAAACACCUACACAAAUAAACAAAAAGAUAUAAUGAGGAAACAUUCAAUUUUUAUUUUUGUUAAAUAACUUACAUGCCUUAUUUAUAUAUUUCAUACAUUGGUUGGUUAAUCGAGUAAUUUAUAUAAAUAUAUAAAAUACACCGAUAAAUCGAUUCUAUCCCUGAUUGAAUAGGAGGCAAACACUUGUGAAAAGAUCGCUUGAAUUUAAGAAAAGCUCGAGUUCCUUCUCUUCUUUCUUUUUAGAUUAGAAUGAUGACAUUAUUUUUUACUUUAGAAUGGAGAAGGGGAGAGGCCAACUUAUUUUGCUUUUUUUACUCCUUGGUAGAAAGGGUUUUUUUUUUUGUUAAUACAACUCACUUUUAUUAUAAAAAAUACAUCUCAAGUGUCAUCUAAGCGAAAAGUUUUGUGUGUUUGUACUCCACAUCCGUGAAGCACUUCACUCAAUCAAGAAGAUAUAUAAAAUUAUUAGUUUUUAGGUGUUGAAUGAAAGAGGCAUGCAAUCAAUUCCAAUUAAAUCAUGGUAAUUUUAACGAUAAAAAUCAGGUCUAAAGAAAUUGAAUUAUCCCACUAUAAUGUUACCUUCUUCCUAUCCUAAAUAACUACUAGUCGUUUAAAAAUUGUAUCAAAAUAUUUGGUAUUUUAAAGAAAUAAUAGGUCAGUUAAUGAUUUAGCGUGAGGUCUACAAGUACUUGUUUUUGUAUUUAAUUAUCUAAACGGACACAAUUGGCCGGCCAAAGGGAAUUGAAUAUGAACAUUCAAAUGAAAGAUUUUUUUACCAUGAAUAAAAGAAAACUUGAAAUCCACAUUAAAAAAAACAUGGAUAUUCCAUCUUGACAAAAUCAAUGAACAUAUUAUUGUGUAAAAUUAUUACUUUUACAUGAUUAUGGUAUCUGGGUUAGCUUUCAUGCAUCUCAAUUAAUUUCAUAUGAUAUAUGUAAUCUGUCAUGACCUCUCACCUACAACAAGUAUCAAUUAUCAGAAGACUCCGUUCAUUAAAGAUAAGACAGAUGAGAAGGAUCAUGACCUAGUAUUUUUAUUUCCGCUGAAAUAUAAACUUGAAACGUGAUGAUUCUUAACAACUUUAUAACCACUACAUCACAACACCCUUGGUUGCAGUGUAAAUUAUUUGGGGAAAACGAUUCAUCUUGAUUUGAUUUUUUUGUUUGGGUCAAUUUAGACCAAGUUAAAAAAUAACAAAAUAUAAAGUAGAAAUAGUCUAAACAAAUGAUGACACAUAACCUAUUAGCCAAAUGAAUAUUGAAAUUUUGGAAUCUAUAGAUCCAACAAAAACAAUUUAUUCAUAAACUAAUAAAUCUUUUUAUUAUUAAUCACUAAAGUUUUCUUCUAUUUCCUUACACCACAAAAAAAAAAAGAAAAAAAAAAAAAACUACUACUAGCACCCCUUUUAAUAUUACAGACCAAGUUUUAUAUGAAAAGAAAAGAAAUUCAUGAUUAUAUAUGCAAGUAAAUUAACUAUUUUAAAAAAAAAAUGAAGUAUUGUUAUUAAAAUCAGAAAGGCAGAAGCAUUUACCUUUGGUGAGAAGUGUUAGAAGAAGAAGAAGAGUGAUUGAAAGCUUAACAAUGGUUUCCAUUAGGGAAAAUGAUCUCUUUGUUGAUGUAGAUAUUGAUUGUGGCUUCUCUCUCUCUCUCUCUAUAUAUAUAUAAUAUAUGAAGAAUAAAGUUUGUUCAAUAUUAGCCAUAUAAAUAUAUGAGGUUAAGGACCCCUUGUAAUUAAUGUAUGAUUUUAUAUAUGUUAAUAAUAGUCAUAUGUUAGCCGUGUACAACUCUCUUUUGGAUUUUUUUAUAAGUUAAUGCCAUCAUAUUCAUGUAACUAAUUUUAUUUGUCCAGAAUAAUUUCACAAACCUCUUCUAAGAUUUCGACUUAUAAUUUCUAUUUAUUUUUGGAAAAUAACAUAAGUGUUUCUAUUCCAUUGUAACUUUUGUACUAAUUAUAAUUAUACAGUUAUGUUUCUUUACUUUGAUGUCCCUAAAUUAAUUAUCUCAUUCUAUAUAAGUGGUGGUUCCUUUGGACGAUCAAAGGUAUUUCCGUAAUUUUCCUUCUGAGCUGACCUAUUAACACAGUCCACCUGCUUGCCCAUUGGGUUUCCACGUGGGUCAAACUUAAGAACUAACACAACUAACUCACGCGUGCCCCUUUCCCUGUACCAGAGUCGUCUUAACCUCUAGACCACUAAAAUCAUCGCUUUGGGCCCCAUAUUUUUGAAAUGCCCCUAUUUUUUAGAAAAAAAUUACUUAUAAUGAUUUCUACUCAGCAAAUUACAUAUGAGUUGAAUAUAUAGUGUAGAUCAAGCUAUAUUUUCACUUCAAAAUAGAUUUGAACCAAUUGAAGUAUAUGAAUUUUUUUUAUGAUUUCUUAUUUAGUAGUAAAUUAAGAUCACUAGAUGAUGAAAUUUUAAAAAAAUUUGUCUUAACUCUAAAUUUUCUUUAAUCCAUAAUAGUUAUUCUGGUAUUAAUGGUUUAGAUUUUUAUUUAUUUUUGAAUUAAAUUUUUUUCUAUUGAAAAAGAAUUAUUAAAACAAAUCGAUUAUAGAACAGUAACUAAUGACGUCUCAUCUAAAAAUGCUAAAAAAGUAAAUUUUAUACUAUAAAAAUAUAUAUGAUGAAAAAAAUAAAAUAUUAGAGCUCCUCUCUUAAGUUUUACUUUAGGCCCCAGUCUUGUUGAGUCUAGAUAUCGAUAGUAAGAUAUAUUUGUAAACAUAACUUUAUGGUGGUGUUGUAUUUCAUGGUCUUUGACAUUUUUUGUUCAGAUGGUUCUUCUCUCUGCCUUUCUUUUAAAAAAACUUUUCUCUGUUUUUUUUCAUUCCUUACUAUGAGAGGUUUUAAGGUAUGAAGAGGGAUGAACCAAAGGUGCUCGAUGAUAUGUCCGAAUUAACUUAACUAUUUGGUAAGAAUCUCUAGAGUUUCUCUUUUGCUAUUAGCGAGUAAAUUAGGACUGUGUUCAAUGAUGUAAAGUUAGGAGUUCCUUCAAUUUUAUUUACUACGUAUUGAAUUUCAGAGGCAGCUCCUCAAAGUCAAAUUUGCUCAACGUGAAGUAAGUUUUGAACUUUUUUAGUUGAUAAGAUAUAAUAUUAAUAGUUGUUUGUUGUGCCUCCCUGCAGUAUUACUUGUGUGAUUUUUGGCACUCUCCUCUGACAUGGAACAUUUUUAAAUAUCCUUCAUUGGCCUGGAGUAUCAAGUUUGGUAGCUUUUCUAAAAAAAAUGUAUUUCUCAACGGAAUAUAUUGUAUGUGUCCUUUGAAUUCUUUUCUUACUUCUAUCUAUGUUCUUUAAAUUCUUUUCUUAUUUCUAAAAAAAUUUCGUGUAUCAGAAAGCAGGCGCAACUUGAACUAGUAUUUUGUAUCUCUACCGUACGUACGUGUUUCAUGGACAAAAAAAAGGGAAUGUUUAUGGGGAUUUCACGUUUUCAACUUCAAAGUUACCCAUCAGAUUCUACUUUUGGGAAUUGGCCGGUAAUUUGAUCAAACUUAGAUAUUAGGAGUAAUAUUUAAUACUUUGUUAAGCUUUGCGUGGUUUUAGGUUUUGAUAUAAUCAAGUUAUUUAGAAAGAGAAGACAAUGCGAGGACCUUAGAUCAGCUGCAAAUCUAUUGUCGGAGAUGUUUCUUGUGUACGUACAUGAUAAAUGCAUACGAAAGAGUAGCCAAUUAAUUAAAGAUGAAAUGAAGGAUAAAUCAUGCUUCAUCUUACUACUUUUCUCUGGUUAUGUACAUCCAAUAAAUUAAAUCAUGUUAAAAUUCUGUGACUCUCCUUUGUGAGAAGAUUUCAGUAGAUCGUUAGUUUUUUCAUUAUAUUGCUUUAUCCUGAGGUACUUUUAUUUUUGAAUUUAUUUAUUGCUUUCUUGAUCAGCUUUGUAUAUAUUCGUUAAUUUGUUUUUCAUAUUUGAUGCAGAUCUAAAUCUGGGGACUACAAUAUGCAUGCAUAUUGAAUGCAAAAUUCUUGGAGGAGUGAUAUUAGUUCUCUUAACUCAGUUUGAUUUCCUUUCUAUCAUUUCAUACCAAAUCUGUGUCUUGUAAAAUGAGCACAUCAAACUUCUUCUAUAUCUCUGUUGGAAUGUAUGCGUUCACCAGUUACGAUAAGACCAGGUCCUCAACACGAUUACAAUAACAAAAAGUAAAUAAAUGCUGAACGUAAAGAUUGCACACACAACUUUACGUGGAAACCUCCUUGCUCAAGGGAGUAAAACCACGACCUGUCUCACAGGGAUUAUCAAACCGAUUUUACUAAACUUCACAAGCAAAAGUAAAACCCUGUUUACAACAUGAGAUUAACCUGCUAAUCUCCACACUAAGCAAUACUACCUAUUACUUAAACGAGCCUAAGCAGAUACAACACUGCCCACUAUACUAACCCUAAAUGAUUAAUAUAGACUUUGACGUAAGACACUAAGUUACUCACAACUAAGUUCUUACAAUGAUUCACCUAAGAUUGAAACGUUUCUAUCACAAGCGAAACAAUUCCUACAAUAUACGCACAAUUACAAAUAGUCAAAGUAACAGCUGGUACAUGAAGCAAUAAUGCAAUCUAUCAGGUCCCUGCUGUUUUGAAGCUUGAAUAUCUCUCUUUGAAUGAAUGGUUGAUUUCUUGGUUUUUGUCUUGAAUAUAUCAAACAUCAAGAGUUAAUACCCUUUGGACAAACAACCUCGUCGCUUCUGGUUGGUGUAGUACACUGGCGACUUCACCAACUUCUGACACAAACAACUUUCCAGUUGUACAACAUAUGACCCUGGACGAGCAUACUCUGCAGAGGACCGAGACCCUGCACUUGUGAGGAGAUCAUCAAAACAUCUGGGAGCAUUAAGACUUAUCAUUUCCCUCCUUUUUUAUGAUGACAAACAACCUACAAGCAACCUCACAUGAGUGUUAAGCAUUCAUUCAAAAAUUACAUUAGUUUCCCUUGUCACCUAUUCCCCUUAUCACUGUUCUUCCCCCUUUGUUCAGUUCCCUUCUAAUUUCACAACAGUUUACCAAAAAUUUCCCCUUUUGACAUCAUUGAAAAGGAAUAGCAGUAAACAUAUGCGAGUUAUAUGCAAAACAUUUAAGAAAUCAGAGCCAUGAGCCACACAGAGCAUGUACAUGUAAGCAUAAAGAGAGUAUUAAACCAUACUAAAACAGGGCACAAUAACAAUUAGCAUUAGAUCAUAAAAGCUGACCACAAGAGUCGGUCAAAAUAGUACACACAACCACUAGAGUUUUGAACCAGGGAUAAAAAGACUAGGGAGACAAGACUCGUUUAAGACGGAGGGGGAAUGGGAUUAAGGGUGCGCAUGAGCAAGGACAUUCACUUAUUUGCAGCCUCAUGAGCCUGAAUAACUUGCGUGUUGAGAACCUUGACUUCCUCACUGAGUGAGGCAUUUGUCUUUAACAGCUGCUCAUUCUCAGCUAUCAACUUUUGCACGACUUGCUCAUCCACACCAUUGGUACCAGGUCCCUUUGAAAUAGCCUUCUGCAGCUGAGAUUUCAGUUGCGCAAUCUCAACCUCUUUAUUAUUCAUGAUCAUGGUGAGAUCAGUCAAUUCUCGUUUAAGAGAGGCUUGCUUCUCUAGAAUAUUUGCCACCUGAGACCUACAUCUGUCUUUUCCUUCAACACACUCACAUUCUAGCAGGGUAGCAGCAGUGAACAUUUUCUUGGUGGUACCUGGUACCUCUUGUCCCAAAGGCACUUCGAAAUGUUUGAACACAUAAUUCAACAAGUAGCCAUAAGGGAUGUCAUGCUUUGCCAAUUUCCAGGUCAUCACCCUGUGAAUAUGUUCAAGCAUUAUAGCAGGGAGAUUCAUUUCCUCAAGUUCAUCCAGCUUCUUCAUGAGAAAUAGAUCCGCAGCAGAUGCUACAGUUCUCUUCUUUAUCCUUGGUACCAUCACCUUGUUUAUGAACUCAAAGAGUAGCUGAUAUUCUCCUUUGAGAAACUUCUUUGGCAACCCUGCACGCUUGAUGUCCCCACGCUUUGUGGCUUAUUUUGAGAACUCACUGGAUGGCUUGCAACCUUCAAUCGAUCGGAUUCCUCUCGCAGGCACACCUAGAAUGAUCCCCAAAGUUUCCUCAUCUAGAAAGAUUUUAAUAUUUUUGACAGUAGUCCUGAUUCCUCCAUCCUCUAACAACUCCAUUUUGUAGUAAAAUUCGCGCACCUCAGGCUCAUGCAAAUAAGGUGCUAGGGGUUAGAAUAGAUGACCCCAACCUUGUAGAGAAACAACAUCAAAGAGAUUGGACAUACCAAAUCCAGUUAUAAUGUCAGGGUCAAAUACUCUGUCGUUCAGCACUUUCUGGUUCUCCAUUUCAGCUAUGCGCUCUUCCCUGGCCAUUUUCUUGUCUGCAACUUAUUUUGGAACACUAGGACUUGGUCCCUUGUUUUGAUUUGAUAUAACAGUAACCCUCUUCUUCACUCUCUCCUACUUCACAUGAGAUUUCUUUACAGACUUUUGACUUCCCUUUGAUUUAACCCUCUCAACCUCAGCUUCCUUUCUUCAUUUCGCCACAUAUGCAGUGAUAUCAUCAGAUUCAGUAUCACUGGACCCAACAGGAAAAUGAGUUGAUGUGGGUUCUUCAGGCAAGUGACAUUCCCGUCUUCUUUUCCUAGUUCUCUCCGUUUGAAUUACAUUCGUUGCUAUGGCACUCCCCAUAACUUUCUGCAUUUCGCUCCUAGUCCCGUACCUCUUCUUGUCUCCUUUUGAGUGGGACUCAACCAUCUUUCCCUUCCCUUUUCUUUUUCUUUCAUUUGCAAACUCAGCGAGCUCAUCAGUAAGAACAGCCUCAGGAGAACUCUUAGCUGUUUCCAAAUCUGGGACACCAACUAUUAAAGUGUUGACUCCUCGAUCGCACCCCUUUUUUGCUCCAUUUCAAAGGAACUUCUUCUUCCUUUUCCUUGUCACUCUCAACGUCAAGUGACCUAGGGGUUUGGUCAAACACAUGUUAAACACUGUGAGGGACCUGCUCCGGAGACCUCAACUCUUGUUCCAACAAGGUUGGUUGAACAUCGCCUCUAAGAGAGGCCAAACUUUGUACAGAUACUAAUUAUGCCCCUGCUGCUAGAAUAUUCGACUCAGGACCCUUUUCCUCAGACAGAUUUUCAUCGAAUAACCUAUCAGACAUAAUAGAAGACACUCCCCUAGAAAAUACUUCAACUUCUUUAGUGGGAGGGUCAACACUUGAUUUUAUUACUAAUUGUGCUUCUGAGGUUUGAGAUUUGUCACAGGACAACACCAAAGUAGGAGAACAGGGUAAAAUCUCCCCAGAUGGUAGUGCAGGAGAAACCACUAUUUCAGUAAGAGGAGUGGUGGAUUCACCUGUUUCACCAACUCCAUAAACUGGUAUUGAGGGAGACUUUUCUGGGAGAGGAAUGGAGAAUUUGAAAGAACUAGGGUUUUCAACCUCUUGUGAAAUAGGAGGCCUUGAAGAUGAAGAGGAGUUGGUCAUUUUGAUGAGAAGAAAAAAAGGGAAAAUUUAGGAACAAAGUAAUGAAUCACAAAGGGAUUAGGAAGAAAUUAAUAGUUUGGAUUCACAUGGGUAAGGUUUAUAUUUAAGUACAAGAGGUAUCGGGUCCCUGAGACGUAGUGACUCUUGGUUUUAAAGUGAAAAGGCGUCUAAAACUGACGCGAUGAAUGGGUAAGAGACACGUGGAAGUGAUGUUGACAGACACAUAGUGUAGCAUAAGUGAUACUAACCUCGUAGGGACCAGGUCCCAUUUAGUAUGUAGCCCUGCCUGCAUGAUUAGAUCUUCCUUACAGCCAUCAUGCCAUGAGUGUAUACCUGUAUUAAGGUACCAGAAGUGAAUUCUCAAAUGAUAUGCAUUACAACAAGUAUAGAUACCUUCCCUCCUUAACAUAAUCAAAUGGAAGACUUUGUGCAAACUUGUCAUGGAUUCAGGUGAUCUUGUGCAUCCCCAGCCUCAACCUGUUUUUGAUGAAACAUUCUUUACUCAAGGGCUUUGUAAAGAUAUCAGCUAACUGGUCUUCUGUCUUGCAGAAACUCAUCACCAUAUUUUUCUUCUCAACAUUGUCCUUCAGGAAGGAAGUGAUACCUCACAUCUAUGUGCUUUGUCCUCUUAUGCUGAACAGGAUUCUUGGUCAUGUUCAUUGCACUGGUGUUGUCGCAUAUUAUAGGGAUAAUGUCUGUGAGAACACUAAAAUCUUCCAGUUGCUGCUUGAUCCAAGCCACAUAUUAUGCCUCUGUUGUAGACAUUGCCACUGAAUUUUGCUUCUUAGUCCCUCAAGAAAUCAGUGAUGAUCCGAGGAAGUAUGCCAUGCCUGAUGUACUCUUUCAAUCAACAAGAAAACCUGCAUAAUCAGCAUCAGCAUUGAAAUGACCCAAAAAGUUCUUAAAAAUGUGCUUCAGAAGUUACCGGAAACUUGUUUAGCUAUAUAUAAAAAAAUCCGUUUCGUUUUUCGAAAAUCUGACUUCAUAUUCUUGUUUAGGGGGUCAAAUUGAGUGGGAAAUGGGUCUAACCCAAAUUUUAGAGCAACCGUAUCAAAAUCCGAAAUUUCCAAGUGAAGCCUUUUUCGAGGGUCUACUUUGGAGGGUCAUAUCUCCUAGCACACAAAUUAUUNNNNNNNNNNNNNNNNNNNNNNNNNNNNNNNNNNNNNNNNNNNNNNNNNNNNNNNNNNNNNNNNNNNNNNNNNNNNNNNNNNNNNNNNNNNNNNNNNNNNNNNNNNNNNNNNNNNNNNNNNNNNNNNNNNNNNNNNNNNNNNNNNNNNNNNNNNNNNNNNNNNNNNNNNNNNNNNNNNNNNNNNNNNNNNNNNNNNNNNNNNNNNNNNNNNNNNNNNNNNNNNNNNNNNNNNNNNNNNNNNNNNNNNNNNNNNNNNNNNNNNNNNNNNNNNNNNNNNNNNNNNNNNNNNNNNNNNNNNNNNNNNNNNNNNNNNNNNNNNNNNNNNNNNNNNNNNNNNNNNNNNNNNNNNNNNNNNNNNNNNNNNNNNNNNNNNNNNNNNNNNNNNNNNNNNNNNNNNNNNNNNNNNNNNNNNNNNNNNNNNNNNNNNNNNNNNNNNNNNNNNNNNNNNNNNNNNNNNNNNNNNNNNNNNNNNNNNNNNNNNNNNNNNNNNNNNNNNNNNNNNNNNNNNNNNNNNNNNNNNNNNNNNNNNNNNNNNNNNNNNNNNNNNNNNNNNNNNNNNNNNNNNNNNNNNNNNNNNNNNNNNNNNNNNNNNNNNNNNNNNNNNNNNNNNNNNNNNNNNNNNNNNNNNNNNNNNNNNNNNNNNNNNNNNNNNNNNNNNNNNNNNNNNNNNNNNNNNNNNNNNNNNNNNNNNNNNNNNNNNNNNNNNNNNNNNNNNNNNNNNNNNNNNNNNNNNNNNNNNNNNNNNNNNNNNNNNNNNNNNNNNNNNNNNNNNNNNNNNNNNNNNNNNNNNNNNNNNNNNNNNNNNNNNNNNNNNNNNNNNNNNNNNNNNNNNNNNNNNNNNNNNNNNNNNNNNNNNNNNNNNNNNNNNNNNNNNNNNNNNNNNNNNNNNNNNNNNNNNNNNNNNNNNNNNNNNNNNNNNNNNNNNNNNNNNNNNNNNNNNNNNNNNNNNNNNNNNNNNNNNNNNNNNNNNNNNNNNNNNNNNNNNNNNNNNNNNNNNNNNNNNNNNNNNNNNNNNNNNNNNNNNNNNNNNNNNNNNNNNNNNNNNNNNNNNNNNNNNNNNNNNNNNNNNNNNNNNNNNNNNNNNNNNNNNNNNNNNNNNNNNNNNNNNNNNNNNNNNNNNNNNNNNNNNNNNNNNNNNNNNNNNNNNNNNNNNNNNNNNNNNNNNNNNNNNNNNNNNNNNNNNNNNNNNNNNNNNNNNNNNNNNNNNNNNNNNNNNNNNNNNNNNNNNNNNNNNNNNNNNNNNNNNNNNNNNNNNNNNNNNNNNNNNNNNNNNNNNNNNNNNNNNNNNNNNNNNNNNNNNNNNNNNNNNNNNNNNNNNNNNNNNNNNNNNNNNNNNNNNNNNNNNNNNNNNNNNNNNNNNNNNNNNNNNNNNNNNNNNNNNNNNNNNNNNNNNNNNNNNNNNNNNNNNNNNNNNNNNNNNNNNNNNNNNNNNNNNNNNNNNNNNNNNNNNNNNNNNNNNNNNNNNNNNNNNNNNNNNNNNNNNNNNNNNNNNNNNNNNNNNNNNNNNNNNNNNNNNNNNNNNNNNNNNNNNNNNNNNNNNNNNNNNNNNNNNNNNNNNNNNNNNNNNNNNNNNNNNNNNNNNNNNNNNNNNNNNNNNNNNNNNNNNNNNNNNNNNNNNNNNNNNNNNNNNNNNNNNNNNNNNNNNNNNNNNNNNNNNNNNNNNNNNNNNNNNNNNNNNNNNNNNNNNNNNNNNNNNNNNNNNNNNNNNNNNNNNNNNNNNNNNNNNNNNNNNNNNNNNNNNNNNNNNNNNNNNNNNNNNNNNNNNNNNNNNNNNNNNNNNNNNNNNNNNNNNNNNNNNNNNNNNNNNNNNNNNNNNNNNNNNNNNNNNNNNNNNNNNNNNNNNNNNNNNNNNNNNNNNNNNNNNNNNNNNNNNNNNNNNNNNNNNNNNNNNNNNNNNNNNNNNNNNNNNNNNNNNNNNNNNNNNNNNNNNNNNNNNNNNNNNGAAUCCUACAAUGUAAGCACUAUUACAAGCAAACAAACUAACAACUGGUACAAGAAGCUUUUGAAGUAAUCGAUCAGGUCCCUUGUUGUUCUUGAAGCUCUUGAAGUAAUCGAUCAGAUCCCUUGCUGUUCUUGAAGCUUGAAAAUAUUUCUCUCUUUCAAUGAAAGAGUAAUAUUGUUGUAUUUUGUUUAGUAUAUACCAUAAAAAGUUAUUACAAAACGUACAAGCAACCUCCUAGCUUCUGAUUGGUGAAGUACUCUGCAGCUUCUGAUGCAGACAACUUUUACAGCUGUACCGCACUUUGACACAGGACGAGCAUACUCUGCAGAGGACCAGGUCCCUGCACNNNNNNNNNNNNNNNNNNNNNNNNNNNNNNNNNNNNNNNNNNNNNNNNNNNNNNNNNNNNNNNNNNNNNNNNNNNNNNNNNNNNNNNNNNNNNNNNNNNNAUGUCACGUCUAGGCCCUAAGCUUGGGUCGUGACAAGCAUAACCAAUUAGAUCAAGUGAAUCACCCAUUGGAUAGAAGAGGACCAGGUCCUGAGUUCCCUUCAGGUAUCUCAGAAUUCGCUUGGCUACCUUCAAAUGUGACUCAUUUGGCGCUGCUUGGAACCUUGCGCACAUUCCUACACUGAAGACUAUGGCAGGCUUGCUUGCAGUGAGGUACAGAAGUGACCCAAUAAUUCCCCUAUACAUGGUCUGAUUAACCUCAACACUAUCUUCAUCCAGAUCAAGUUUCACACUUGUGCUCAUAGGAGUGUCAAGAACUUUUGCCUCAAGUAAAUUAAACUUUUUGAGCAAUUCUUUUAUAUACUUCUCUUGACAUAUAGAAGUGCCCUGAGGAGACUGCUUGAUUUGCAAUCCUUGGAAGAAAGUAAGCUCCCCCAUCAUGCUCAUUUCAAAUUCACUACUUAUCAAAUCAGCAAACUCUUUGCACAGUGAAUAUGAAGUAGCUCCAAAGAUGAUGUCAUCUACAUAUACCUGCACAAUUAACAACUCCUUACCUCUGAAUUUUACGAACAAAGUAUUAUCAAUUUUAUCUCUUUUGAACCCAUUUGCAAUGAGGAACUUUGACAAGUGCUCAUACCAAGCUCUGGGAGCUUGCUUUAAACCAUACAAAGCUUUAUCCAACUUCAACACAUGAUUUGGUAGGUCUGCAUCUUCAAAACCUGUAGACUGUUUGACAUACACCUUUUUUUUCAAAUUUCCAUUCAAGAAGACAUUUUUGACUUCCAUUCGAAACAGUUUAAACUCUAUAUGGGCAGCAAAGGCUAUCAGGAUUCUAAUAGCUUCCAUUCUGGCUACAGGAGAAAAGGUCUCGUCAUAGUCAAUCCCCUCCUCUUGUUUGUAUCCCUGCACCACGAGUCUUGACUUGUUCCUGGUGAUGAUCCCAUGCUCAUCAAGUUUGUUUCUGAAGACCCAUCUUGUCCCAAUAAUGGUUCUGUUGAAUGGCCUGGGGACCAGGUGCCACACCUUGCUUCUUUCAAACUGAUGAAGCUCUUCCUGCAUUGAUGUUACCCAAUCUGCAUCCUGUAAAGCCUCUUUAAUAUUCUUAGGCUCAAUGGAUGAUAUGAAGGCUGAAUAUGCAACUAGAUUUCUUGUUCUGGAUUUAGUUUGUAUUCCUGAAUCAAGUAGGGAGAUGAGAUUGUCCAGUGAAUGUGAGGAUUGAUGCUUUCAUUCGAACUUUCUGGUUAUCUCUUCUUCCACAUCAACAUCAGAUUCACCUUCUAGAUUUUGAGAUAAUAUCUCAUGGGUUAAACCAGAAGGACUAGGUUCUUCUGUGAGUUCUGCAUCAAUUUCUUUCACAACCAUUUGUUUCCAGGAUUUUGGAUUCCCUUGUCCUGUUUUCCCUUGAUUAGAUCCUCCAAAUCAAGGUCUUCUUUGUGUUCAUCAUUUCUCUCAGACUCAUCAAAUUUCACAUGCAUGCUCUCUUCAACACAUAGAGUUCUUUUGUUAAAAACCUUGUAUGCCUUGCUGGUAGAAGAGUACCCAACAAGCAUGCCUUCAUCACUUCUAGCAUCAAACUUGCCAAAGUCAUCAUUUCCAUUGUUCAGUACAAAGCAUUUGCAACCAAAUGGUUUCAGAUGAGCAAUUAAAGGUUUUACUAUUGUUCAGCAACUCAUAAGGUGUUUUCUUGAUCAUAGACCUGAUAACACUUGUUAGUAACAUAGCAGGCUGUGUUGACUGCUUAUGCCCAAAAAUUUAUUGCUAGUCUUGAGUCAAUCAGCAUGGUUCUGGCAAUAUCCACCAAUGUUUUGUUCUUCCUUUCAACAACUUCGUUUUGCUGAGGAGUUCUUGGUGCGGAGAAAUUGUGAUUGAUUCCAUUUUCAGCACAAAAAUCUUCAAUUUGAGAGUUCUCAAACUCUGUGCCAUGGUCAGAUCUGAUACUAGCAAUCUUGCAGUUAACCUUCAGUUGCAUUGCUUUGGCAAACGUGAUCAGAAGUCCGGCCGUCUCAUCCUUAAUUAUGACUUUUUUUUUCUUUUAAUUAAAGUGGCCUUCAGGCCAUUUAUUCAAAAUAGGAAAAAUUACGCGGAAUGACAAACCUUUAGAGUAUAUUAUGUAAUAUAGCUAUAGUUGAGAAAAUUUGUAAUUUGCAGCUACAGUUUUGUAAAAUUUUGUUAUUCGGUUCGUAAUUGUAUAAAUCUAGAAUUUGUAUAAUUCGGUUCCUGAUUGUAUAAGUCUAGAUUUUAUAUAUGCUCCAGAAUUUGUAUAUGCUUACCCUAGUUAUUUGUAUACAAUUUUUUGAUACAUUUGGUUUGUAUAAGUUAUGAAUUCAUAGUAAAUUACCCUAUUUGUAUAUUGGCAAGUGAAAUAUAGAAACGGCGUUCUGAAUUUUUUUUGAAUGUAUGAAUACAAAAUUUGUAUAUACUUACCCUGUUAGUAUAUUGACAAACGAAAAUACUCAUAGCAAACGAAACUAUAGUUAUGAAGCGUAACUAAAUAAAUUGUAGUAAUGUGACGUAAUUAAGUUUAAGCUCUUUGCUAUUUAUGAAAUUUUUUCUUUAAAAUAAAAUAUGAAUAUUGUCUUAGCCCAAAUAAUGAGCCCAAACCUAAAAACAAAAAUGAAGAAAAAUAAACUUAAAAAACAAGAAACUAAAAAAGUGGAAUUUAAAAGAAGGAUCUAGAAAUCCUUUUGUCCUCGUCGUAGUUGACUUCUAUGGCCAAUGAACAUGGCCUCUCUGGUGAAGAAACGCGAUGACAAGGAGCGUAGUAGACAAAGCUCACUCACCACAUAGUUAUAAAAUUAGAUCUUAGUGAAUCACGUUUGAACAGAUCUCUUAAAAAUACAAUUAUCUAACUUAUAUUGUAAAAAUAUGGCAUAAAACUUAAUUUGAUAUGCAAUAAUAUACAUUCGAAAUAAAAUAACAUACAAAAUAUUUAUGUAUUUUUUUUAUAUAAAAAUAUUUAAAAACUUGAUAUACAAGAUUAUAUACCUAGUAUACAAAAUUAUAAUAGGUAUUUAUACAUUCAUAUACAAUAAUAUACAAGUUUAUACACUAUCAUACAAAAAACUAACUUCAUCUCUUUUCUGGAAACCAAAACAUCUCAAAAACUUCACCAUCAUCCAAAAUUUUAGAAUUAUACUUCUCAAUACAUAAUCGAUAUAACUUUUGCAACAAUGUCCACUCGAAACAAAGUUUGUUUGCAAAACAUCAAUUAUCAAACUUUGAACAUUUGAGCUUUAAUAAUGGCUGAACAUCAAUCAUCAGUUGAGUUUGUGGAGUUUUUUUAAUGAGAAUAUGUUAGCAAUAGUGGACUUUCAUUAUGAAGCAAGGUGGGAAAUAAAUGUCUUUGAUAAGUCGAUUGAGAUGGAGAUCGAAAGUGAACUAUCGAGAUGAUUCUUGGGAUAGAAAUUCAAUCCCAUUGAAUGUAAAGUAGUUGAGUCUAUUCGAUUUUUUAUGAUAGAAACUAUAAAAAUUAAGAUGUAUUUGAUGUGAAUUUAUGAAAGAAAUAUUAAUAAGAAUUAAUUGAUAGCAAUGAUGGAGUUUCAUUAUGGAGGAUAACAUAAAAUUGAGCCAAUUUAGGUAAGUAUUGAAAACCUUAACUAAAUUAUUGUAAUUUUAUGAGUUACACUAAAAUAUAAUUAUCUCUUGUUUUAUUUUCUCAUUUUCCUUCCAUUAAUUUAUGCAAUAUAAGAUGUCUUGGUGUUGUUUUGAUGGAAUCCAAAAACGAAAAAAUAUGGGAAAAAGGUCUGAAAAAUACUUCAAUUUUAGCCGAAAUUGUUGUUAUGAUACCAAACUUUAUGGAGGAUCUUUUACCCCCUGCACUAUUUAAUAAUGUAUUUUAAAGAUAUAUAUGUUCCAACGUGGACAACGUUACUAUUUAUAAUGAUGCAAUAUUAUGAUGUCCACGUGGGUACAUAUAUACCCUUAAAAUACACUAUUAAAUAGUGCAGGGGGUAAAAGGUCUUUUCCAAAGUUUGGUAUUGUUACAGCAAUUUCGGUCAAAAUUCAGAUAUAUUUCAGACUUUUUUCCCAAAAAAUAUUCAUAAACACUUACAUAAAUUCAUAUUCCUUCCAUUAAUUCAGGCAAUAUUUUCUUUUAUUUGUUGAGAUUUAAAUUAUGUGAAAUUUAAUUAAUAUUUUAAAAUGUAUUUCUUAUUAUAUUAACAUGAGAAAAAUUGCAACUUUAAUUAAUUCUCAUAUAUAUUUUUUAAUUAUAUAAAUUUGAUUUUAAAACAGAGAGUUAUUAAUCAAAUUAAAUUUAACUUUAAAGAUUAGUUAUUAAAGUCGUGUUCCUUUUGUUAGUAACAAUAAAAGUAACUUAACAAAUACUAUUUUACCCUAAUAUUAUCAACUUUUUAAAAAAAAACUUUUGUAAUACUAUAAUUUUUAAAUCUAUUUCAUAGACCUUUACUUAUAAAAUAUUUUUAAAUAUAAAAAGUAAGAGUCAUCUUGUUUAACUAUAGCUCUCGCCGUUCCUCAUAGAUAUUAUUUUUUUCUGUAGUUAUAAAUAAACAUUAUCGCCAAACUAUGUUUCUCCAUGAGAAAUAACAUGGGACAAAGGGAGCAAAAAUAUAUUUUUAAUUAUGAUAUUUUAAGGAAUGUGUAAAAAAGAAACAUGGUAAUUAAUAUGGGAUGGAUGAAUUAUAAUUAGGAGCAUCAAAAGUGGAUCAUAUACAUAUCUCCCUUCAUCGCAAAAUAUUUGUCGUGUUUUUCAUUUACAUGUCUUUUAAGAAAGUAUUAAUUACAAGUGAUGUUUGACUAUUUUACCCUUAUUUAUGUUUUAAUAAGAUAUAAUUUUUUCAUGGAAUAUUAUUUAGAGUCCGUUUAAAUUGACUUAUUUUCAAUAUUUUUAAGUCAAAAUAGCUUUUAAGCACUUUUGGAGUGUUUGAGUAAAUAACAAAAAAGUGCUUAUAAGCACAUUAUUUUAAGCUAAAAUGAUUAAUAUAAGUCAAAAACCAUAUAUUAAUAAACCAAAAAUCGAAAAUCUAAACUGGCUCUUACUCUUUUUUGUGUCAUAAUUGAGGUGUUUGUGGUCAUUAAAAAUAGUUACUACUAAAGAUAAAAAUGAAAAACAAAAUUAAUUUUAUUUUUAACGUUCCAUUUUUUACUAGUUUAUGUUUGACUUGACACACGCCUUAAAAAUGAUUGGUAAAAUGAUAAGUUUACUAAAAAGUACUCCUUUACGUUUCAUAUUACUUGACCCUUAUUGAUCUGACACACUCUUUAAGAAAACGUUAAUUAGAUGUCUAUUUUACUAAAAUAAUUUUAUUAAUGAUGUUUUAGAACUCUAAAUUUUACUAUUACUAUUGUUACUAUUACUACUAUGUUAUAUAGUUAUUUAAUUUUAAAAUGAUAUAGAAAAAGUAUAAAACAAAGUCUGUGCAAUAAGCCUAAAAGUGGAAAAAGUGAUUUUUUUUCCAUGGCUACAUAAUUGUCUUAGAAAGUCAUGCUGCUUAUUGUUUAAACCAGGUGUUAUAUGCCCGUACAUAUUUGGCUUUUGACUUCAAACCAGAAUUUGCCACCUCUUUUCCUCUUUCAUCUUCAAAAACAGAAACACAAAUAUUGUAUAAUGAUGUAAAAGUGUGUAUAAACACCUAUUUAUACACUAUUGUUCACUGUUAUUCAAGAUUGAUAUAUUGUCUACGGUCUGUUUAUAAUAGUGUAUAUCAUGUAUAAACACUGUUGUGAAAAAGAUUGACUAUGCGGGUUUAAACUAAAAAUAUGGCUACGUAGGUAAUAAUAGUUUGUGUUGGAUAGUAUAUUUUUGAAAAAAAACACUUUCAUUAAAUAAGUGACAUUAGUUUAUAUGGACUCAAAAGACAAUAAUAAAAUUCUUCCUUAGACUGAUUUUAGAUCUAGUUUCAACUUAGCUUCUUCAUCCAUUAUAUUGACAACAGUGGAUUCUUAGAAAUCCAGCUUCAACAAUACGAAAAAAAUUAAAUUUGAAUUAAUCGAAUUAUAUAGGUUGAGUCUAAUAUCCACAUGAACUAAUACAUUAGUACCACCUACGUAUUUAAUUAAAGCUUCACAUAUGUCAUCUCAUAAUUCCAUUAAAAAGACAUACUUUUAAUCAUAAAGGGUACGUAUUUGGGAUUUGAACAGGUGGAUCAAGAGAGCCGUUUAAAAACCAACAAGUGAAAGAAGAACAUAUUAGAACCCUCUCAUUAAAACUCAAAUUAUAAUUAUAGUAUGGUACCAGCCAAGCCUCCUCUCCUUACAGUCAGGUGGCUGAACGCCCCCUCGACAUCUACCUCUACAUCAUAUAUAGUAAACUAUAGUUUCAACAUGUAGCAUUAACAGAAGUUGGCCUAAGAAAAAAAGGAGGAUCCCAAGCAUAAGAAAACUUGAUAGUAUCCUUUCCUUUUAUGGCAUUGCCAUUGUUGACACUACAUGCAUUGUUUCCCAAAGGCUUGAAAAUAGUUGGAUCCACUGGCUCUGUUGUCUGAAAAUCAUAGCAAGACAAUACCAAUUUUUGCAUGGGGCAAUCACAAUUGUUCACCACAACCACAUUCCAUUCUGGCAUUCCCUUUAUUUCUACACCACUCCUUAUUGUUCCAAUUGUUAUAUUGUUCAAACCACAACUCCAAAUACCUACACAAUCAAACAAAAAAUUUCUCGUAUUAUAUAAGAGAGAGUUGAGGCUGAAGCAGACAACAAUUCAUGCGCAACAUAAAUUUUACCUCACUAGUAGUUGAAUCAUGGUAAUCUUGACAAUAAAAAUCAGAUCUAAAGGAAUUAAAUUGUCCAUUAUAUUGUUUGUAUAUAUGCUACUCUUUUUUUUUUAAUCCUAAAUAAAUAUUAGUCGUUUUUGAAUAAUUAAAUUUGUUUCAAAAUAUUUGACAUUUUAAAGAAAUAAUAGACCACUAAAUGAUUUGGGGUGAGGACUAUGAGUAUUUGUAUUUAAUUAUCUAAAUGGGCACAAUUGGCCGGUAUGGGAAUUAAAUAUUAACAUUUAAAUGAAAGAUUUUUUUACCAAGAAUAAAAGAAAAUUUGACCAUCCACAUUAAGAAAUAAGGAUAUUUCGUCUUGACAUACGUAACCCAUUAAUUAAUGAAAAUAUUGUAGUGUAAAUUAUUUGGGAGAAAAGAUUCAUCUUGAUGUGAUUUAUUUGUUUGGGUCAAUUUAGACAAGUUAAAGAAUAACAAAAAAAUAAAGUAGAGGUCGUCUAAACAAAUGAUGACGAGUGUCAUAUUAGCAGAAAGGUUGCUAGGCUUUUUCUUAUUCUUGAUGAUAGAAUUUUUGGAAUCUCAAGAGAUCCAACAAAAAUAAUUUAUUCAUAACUUAAUAAAUCUUUUUUUAUUAAUUCCUAAUGUUAUUUCGUUACAUCACUUGAAAAAGCACGCUAAGAAAGGUUGUUUAUAUCGCUUUUUCCGUGCAGCAAUCCACUAGCAAGGAAGAGAAGGUUAUCGUACAUACAAAACCUUUUAAUAGAGUAAUAUUACAGACCAAAAAUCGUUUGAAAACAAAAGAAAUGCAUAUACAAAUAUAAAAUUUAUAAUAAUUUACGCAUCGCACAUAUACAUAUACUAGUUAUUAUUAAAAUCAAAAAACUAGAAGCAUUUACCUUUGGUGAGAAGUGUAAGGAGAAGGACAGUGAAACAAAGCUUAACAAUUGUUUCCAUUAGGGAAAUGAUUUAUUUGUUGAUGUAGAUAUUGAUUGUGGCUUCUCUAUUCUAUAUGAAGAAUAAAGUUUUGUCCAAUAUUAGUCAUAUAUAUAUAUAUAUAUAUACUAGAUAUGGGAUCCCGUGCUAGCACGGGGCCCAAUAUAUGUUACUGUUUCUGUUUCAAUUUAUGUGGUACAUAUGAAAUUUGAAGUUGAUCAAUUUUUUAGUAUGUUUUUAUAUAUUUUAAGUUGCUAAUUAUUUUUAUUUAGAAUAUGAUUUACGUAAAUAUAUUAUAAAUCACAAUAAUUAACAAGUUAAUAUAAAAAAAAACUUAUAAAAAAUUCAUUGACUUUUGAAAUUUCAUUUGUAUCACAUAAAUCAGGACAAAGCGAGUAAUAUAUAUGAAAAUUACAUAAAACAUACUAUAACUCACAAUAAUUAGCAACUUAAAAUUUCUAUAUAUCUAUAUUUCUCCCAAUUUAUGUGGUAUAGAUGAAAUUUUGAAAGUUAACAAAAACUUUUUAUAUGUUUUCAAAUAUUUUAAGCUAUUAAUUAUUAUGAUUUAUAAUACUUUUUACUAUAAAAAAUUUAAUUUAUAUAAAGUAUAAAAGAAAAAUUUAGAAAAAGGAAACAUAAAUGUCAGCACGAGUCCAAUCUAUGUUAAUUUCUAUGUUUUAAUUAUUGUAAAACCGACUGAAUUUGGAGAGCAAACUAAAUUUUUUUAAAGGAUUUUUUAAAUAAAUUUUAAGUUGUUAAUUAUUAAAAUUUAUAAUAUUUUUAUUAAUUUUAAACCAAUAUAUGUUUUUCUCUGUCUCAAUUACAUGAGACAUAUGGAAUUCGGAGAGUCAACUAAAAUUUUAAAAUAUGUUAAGUUGUUAAUUAUUAUACCUUAUAAUACUAUUACGUGAUUUUCAAAUAAAAUAUGUAUUUUUUAAUUUCAAUUUAUAUGUCAUUGAUAUAAUUACAUAUAUUAAGUAAUGAAGAAUUAAUGUGUAAAUUAUGUGACACCUAUGAAUUUUGGAGUGUAAAUCAAAUUAGUUAUAUGAUUUUAAAAAAAUAAAGCGGUUAAUUAUUACAAUUUAUAAUACUUUUNNNNNNNNNNNNNUUUUUUUAAAAAGUAUUUAUGUCAUACCCGAUUAAUUAUGCCCUUUAUAACAUCCAUUACACUAAUAUAGAUUUAAGUAAAUGAAAAUGGAAGAUGAAAAGAUAAAAGCUAUUCAUUUUUUAUAAUUGUUUAUAAUUAUUUAGCCUAUAAAAUAAAAACAAAAUAGUUGAGCAUUUGUAACAAAUAAGAACAAAUUUCUUCACUUUGGCUCUUCUUCUUCUGACGAUGAUGAUCAAUAUAUGGUAUCAACUUCUGUCGCUAAGAUGUCCAUCAAAUUUCUAGGUCAUGUAACUUUUUUAACAAAAGAGAAAGUGAGAAUGUGGCUCUUCUUCUUCUGACGAUGAUGAUCAAUAUAUGGUAUCAACUUCUGUCGCUAAGAUGUCCAUCAAAUUUCUAGGUCAUGUGACUUUUUUAACAAAAGAGAAAGAGAGAAUAUCUCAUGAUUCUUGUGAAGACAUUGAUGUAAAGAAAGAGAUUAUGUAACAAAAAAUUCUUUUCAAAAUAAAAGACUUUUUGAAAAAAUGUUUAUCCUCCUACAAGGAGAGAAAAAUUAUUUGGAGAAAAAAUCAUUCUAUUUAUGGAAUUCGUAUCAAAUUAGGAGGAGAACAAGCAAAAAUUUAUUUUGUGAUUUGAAAAGAGAGAAAAUUAGAUAUUAUUUAUUUCAAUGUCAUUAUUCUUCUAAUUUCUUUCUUCUUUUAUUUUGUCUUGAUUUUUUGUAUCUUUAAUUAAAGUUUUUUUUUCUUAUUUAUCUUUAAUUAAAGUUUAUAUAUAUUUUCUUAAAAAAGAAUUUAAAAAGAUGAUCAUAUGUAGUUCCUUUCCUCAUCAAUGCUGUUAAUCUCAUAAUUAGUGUUAUUUAUAUUAUUUUCUUAAUUACUUUUUUUUUCUUUCUUUUAAUUAUUUAUUUGAAGAAAUUAGUUAUUAUAACUUUAUAAGAAUUACACAUGUAUUUUUACAUAAUUGAUUUGUUAUUUUUAAAAUUUUUGGAUCAUUCUUCAUCUUAAAGUUUCUAUCUAUAUGUAAUAAUAAAGCUAAAAUAGAAAAUGUGGGGUGACACCUUCUUAGCAAUAGUUACUUAUUCAUUCUGAUCAAUGUUUCUGACAUUUUUUGUUAUUUUUUCCUUAAAAUAAUUGUUACCUCGAUUUUUAGUUUUAGUUUUCUUUUUUAAGCAUUUUCUAAUUUUAAAAGACUGAAAAAUUUAUAUUGAAAAUUUACAAAAUAUAAAAAAUGAUUUAUUUAACUCCUAUCAUCAUCAAUAUUAUUAUUAAUUUCUUUUACUUCUUUCCUUAAAUACAACAUGUUUUAUUAUAAUUACAUUCAAUAUAUUAAUCAAUAUGUUGUACGAAUGAAAAGAAAAUUAUCAUUUCACAAAAACAAAGGUUAAAAUAUAAUUUAUUAUGAUUAAGGAAAGAUAAAAAUAUUAUUCCAAUAUCCAUAACCAUAUUUAAUACAUUAAAAAUUAAUUGAAAAGCUGUGAAUGGAAAAGGAAUUACCAAUAUUAUUCCAAUUCCAGAAAAUGUUUUCUACCAAACGCACCCUAAGUCUUGAGGUAUUUGUGGUCUCUUGGAAUAACGACUGAAGUAUUUUUAUCCCAAAAUAUAAUGAAGAGUAUAAAUAAUCUAUUUCGUAGAGUUUAAGAGCAAUUUUGACCAUUUUCUGUCAAUAUCAUAAAUACAUAUCACAUAUUUACCUUAUUGUUUAAUUUUCCAUUAAUAAGGAAUUCAUGUGUAAUCACCAGCUAUCGUGAUAACGUAGUAGCCACUGGAUAUGUAACCAUUUGAUUAUAUAUAUAUAAAGUAGGAAAAAUUAUAUGAAAUAGUAAACUAUUAAUUCAAAUUAAAUGAUAUAGUCAUAGUUUAUUUUAUUCGUAAUUCGCAGCAAACAUCCUAUUUUUUUGUCAUCUGAUUCGGUAUACAAUUACCCAUUUUCGGUAUACAAUUACUCAUUCAGUAUACAAAUGUAUAAAAUGCGUUUGUGUUUGCAUAAAGCGAGAGAAAAGUGUAUAUACAAAUACAAAUACAUAUAUUUUCGUCCUAUACACUUAUAAUUAUACAAAUACAGAUCUUAUUAUAUAAAUUACAAUGUAUAAAUGAAUUUAUACAAAACUGAACAAUUUGUAUAAAAUUGAAUGUAUCUAGCGAAUUAUACAAAUCAAAAGCUCCAUAGCAAACAUAAAAUUUGCUAUGGAGCGCAAUUAUGCAAACUAUAGCUAUAACAUACAAAUAUGAUUUUUAUGUUUGCUAUAUUUGAAAGCGACAAAUGGAGUAUCUAAUUUUUUUAGGUAGGUAGCUUUGAACACUUUAUUCCCCUUGAUUCUUGAACGCAGUUAAUUUUAUUUGUCCAUUAUUAUUUUUAUUUUAUUUUUUUACUUUUACUUGUAUUGUUAAUAUAUUUUAAAAAAUAUUAUUUUUUCAUGUUUUACUUAAACAUUAAUUAACUAUAUCUCAAAUCAUUUUUCAGGAUUUAAUACAUUAAAUAUCAAUUAAUAGGUAUAAAAAAGUAAAAUAAUCAUGUCAAAUAUAAAUAUAACAAGUAAAAAUAAACGAAGGAGUAUAAGCAAAUUUGCCAAUCAAGUUGACCUGAAAUUCAACUAGUUGAGUUCAUUUAUAAGUAUUCAAUAUUUCUGAAUUACUUUUAUAAAAAUCGUCAAACUAUUACUUUCUUUGUUCCAACAAAAAGUACUGCUAUAAAUUACAAAAAAUUAAAUUUUAAUUAAAACAUUUAAUGAUCAUACAAAUAAAUUAUGAUCAAAUUUUUUUAUGUAAUUAUUAAAAUUCAAAUUAUAUCAUAUAAUGAUUAUUCUCUUUCAUCAUCCACACCCCACACGCUCAUUUCCUUUUUCUUUUGUUUGGGACUGAAACGACUAUUUGUGGGACUUGGAGUACUUUUCUUGUUGUCAUCAAUAAUGAGAUGGAUAGACUUUUCCAACUAUAUAAUAUAAGACUGGACACAAGUACAUAUAAAUUCAACUUGCUUGUAGCCCACAUCUUUCUAUGAUCAACCUUGACUGCUAAAAAUGACACAAUGACUUAGACCUCUUAUCUGCUACACAUUGGGGAUAAAUGACUGAUACUGGCUCAACCUCAAAAUGUCAUUUGGUGGCUGGUUAGGAGGUGAUUUAUUUAUUUAUUUAUUAAAUUACGCAUUAUUUGUAUCAUAUUUAAUAUUCUCUCAGUUUCAUUUUAUAUAAGUUAGUUUGAGUUGAUCUGAAGUUUAAGUGUCACGAUCCAAACUGUCGUGAGUGACAUCCACACUAACUCUCCGAUGGAAGAACCAACUAUCAGCUCAAAGCUUAACUUAUAACAUCAUUUCUAAAGUCAAGUCAUAACAUAAAUAGAAGAGAAACAGUUUAAAACAACUAAAGAAUUGAGUUACCAUAAACUCAAUCAAAUGUCACAAUAUUUACGAAAAUAAACCCCUAGAAACGGAUGAAAGUCUUUGUGUCAAAAUUUUAAAUUUAAAUAGGCAAAAACGGGGAUGCAACCCCGAAAGUUGAAACAAAAAUCUAAUAAUCCAAAGUCUGUGUACGAAAAGAUGGACAAGAGGAUGUAGAGGAACCCAUGGCCAGUGGUGGAGCUAGAAUUUUUAUUAAGGGUGUCCAAGAAUAAUGGUGUGUGACUGUCAAAAUAAAUAAAUAAAUAUUGUGCUAUUUGGGGGUUCAAACCCGAAAGUCAUUCAUUCAAAUGGGCACCCAUUACCACUCCGUCAAAGGUAUAACUUUUGUCAAGGGUGUUCAACUUUAAAUAUAUAUCCUUUAAAUGAAGAAUUUGAUAUAUAUAUAUAUAACAUAAUUUUCUGACAAAGGAUGUCCCUUAACUGAGGUCUAAUAUCAGCCGAUGGUAGAUGCCUUGUACUCAACAAGAAAAAAA